UUUUUUUAAAGUGAAAUUAUUUUCUUAUAAAAAUACAUUAGGAGGAGAAAUAGUACUAGCGUUUUCCAAAGAAGUGUUAAAGAUUGCACACCAUAUGGAUGGAAAUUGGAAAACACCAUAAACAAGCAGUAAAGUAAAUGAAGAACAAUACUUGUACUAGAAUAAUAUAGCUGCAUUUGCCAUUGCCUCUACUAUCAUUAUUCUGGUUUCCUUUCUUCCUUCUCUUUUGGUUUGGCUUCUUCCGCCUUCUUUUCUUUAGGUUUGGCUUCUUCCACCUUCUUAUCCUUAGCUUUAGCUUCUUCCACCUUCUUAUCUUUAGGUUUGGCUUCUUCCACUUUAGCUUUUGGUUUGCCUUUCUGUGGCUUCAUGAAGCAGAAACAAGAACAACAUGGACCCUGGAACAAGAACUUCAUUCUCUCUCUCUGCAUGUUUAAUUUGGGACUAUGGAUCGUUAUUCCGGGAGAUCCCCCUGCACUUUUACGUUUGGGAUGACACCCGGGAGAUUCCCAUGCAUUGGAUAUUUACUUUGGGACUACGGAUUGGUAUUCCGGGAAUUUCCCCUGCAUAUUUAUGAUUCGGACUACGGGAUAAUAUCCCGGGAGAUCCUCUGUGCCUUUACGUUGGGAAUACAGGACGAUAUCAUGGGAGAUUCCCUGUUGCUAUCUCUGUGUACUGAGCAUAUUCUGUUUGUGAUUUUUACUCUUUAUCAACCGUUGGUGUCUUAAAUUAUACUAUCGCACUUCAUACUAUUUUACCUCACACACACACACAUAUAUAUAUAUAUAUAUAACACCAGUAGGGCCCUGACCUUCCUCGUCACCACUCGACCGAGGUUAGGCUUGGCACUUACUGGGUACCGCUGUGGUGUACUCAUGCCCUUUCCUGCACAUGUUUUUCAUGUGCAGAUCCAGGUUCUUCGGCUAAGCCAUACUAUCAGUGAGGCAAGGCGAUCUUUAGAGACUUCGAGGUAUAUCUUCCGCGUCCGUAGACCGAGGAGUCCCUCUCUUUUCUCUCUUUUAGCUAUAGACUUUCUGUACUUUCUUUUGAUUGGACAUUCUGGAGUUAGAACACUAUGUAGUAUCUAUAGCUUGUUAUUUCAUGAGAUUCCGGGUUUUGGGAGUUGAUUCAGUUUCAAGAGUGUGUAUUUGUAUAUGCCGAGCGACAUCUUAAACAUUUUUAUUAUGUUUUAUCCGUAAGUUUUGCUAGUUCUGUAUUUCAUUUUCUUUUUCCACAAUUUAUUAGGCUUACCUAGUCGUAGAGACUAGGUGCCGUCACGACAAUUCACGGAGGGCGAGCUUGGGUCGGACAAUAGGUCAUUUUGAGUUUUAACCUUUAUUUCUAUGUUUUGAGACCUCGAUUAGCUCCGUUUAGCGAUUUUUUAUUUGCGUGCACAACCCGUGUCUUUUUUUGAAAAAUUUGUAUGUGAAAAAUUGAAAAAAAUAUGAAUUUUAGGUUUAAAAAUGAUUUGAGUUAACUACGGUCAACAUUUUGUGUAAAUGGACCCAUAUGUAUUUUUAUGGUACCGAUGGGUCCGUAUCAUGAUUUGGGACUUGAACCAAUGGCCGAAAUUGAAUUCGGAAGUACCUAACUUGAGCUAACAUGAUUUGUUGAAAACUAGUAAUUUGAAGGUUUAAAGAAUUCAUAAGUUUGACCGUAGGUUGACUUUAUUGCUACCGGGUUCGAAUUUCGAUUUUGGAACUUGGUAUAGGUUCAUUUUACUAUGUACAACUUGUCUGCAAAAUUUGGUAAAAAGGAGUUAAUUUGGCAUGAUUCAGACGCUCGGUUAUAAAUUUGAAAGUUCUUAAGUUUCAUUGUGAAUUUCAUACAUUUUGAUGUUCGAUUCGUAGUUCUAGGUAUUAGUUUGGUGUUUUGAUCGCGCAAGUGUGCUCAUAUUAUAUUAUUACACUUGUGUGCAUAUUUACUUUGGAGCCCGAGGGGAUCAGGUUAGUUUCGGAUAGGCUAUGGAUUGAUUUUGGACUAGAAGGAUUGCUGGUUUUCACUGUUUUUGAUCUCUGGUGCUUUGUUCUUCGCGAUCGCGGAGGGUAACUGGGGACUGGGGAGGUUUUCUUCUAUUUGAACCCAGAGAAGAGCUCGUGAAUGCGAAGCAUUAGAGGGAUUACCCUUCACGAAUGAGGCUCUUCACUCACGAACGCGAUAGGUAAGGGAUUCUGGGUGGAGGCCAGGGUUUGUUCUAUGUGAACGCCAGCCCAGGCUUGCAAAUACGAAGGCCGGGGGGGGGGGGGAGGAUACCAUCUAAAACGCGAAAACCAUUUUGGCCGUUGCUCUCUGCGAUGUCAUCAUGCCUUUAGCGAACGCAAAGAAGGCUUGACGCCCAGUGACUUAAAUAUCCCAAAGUCGGGAUUUAACCCACUUUUCACCAUUCCAAGUUUGAGCUCAACCUAGAGGCGAUUUUGAGGAGAAAUUUCAUUCCAACUUCAUAGGUAAGUAAAAUUUAACUCGUUUUCCUCCAUUUUCAUAAACACCUAUUUAUUUCUAACAUUUAAUAUAUGCUCUUUCAUGGUAGAAAUUAGGGAUUUAGGUAGAAACUGGGCAUUUUGAGAAAUUAAGAUUUAGACCUCAAAUUGAGGUCGGAUUUCGAAGCUAAUCAUAUAAUCGGGCUCGGGGGUGAAUGGGUAAUGUGUUUUGGUCAGAAUCUCAGGUUUUGACCAAGUAGGUCUGGGUUUGACUUUUGUUGACUUUUCCAAAAUCAUUAAAGAUAUGAGUCUUUUUUACUCAUGGGUAGUUUCUAAAGCUUAUUUUGAAUUUUUUGAACUAUAUUUUGUUAGAUUCGAAUGGUUUGGAGGCGAAUUUUAGAGGAAAUGCCCUGGUUGAGCUUUGAUUUGAUUGUGGAGUGAGGUAAGUGUUGGAUCUAACCUUGACUUGAGGGAAUUAGGAACUUGUGAACUAUGUGUUGUGUGGAUUAUUUGAUAAAACAACGUAUAAGCGAGGCACCGAGUGUAUAAACAUCGUCAAAAUAUAUAUAUCUGUUUUCAUAUUUUUCUCGUAUUUCAUGAACUAUCUCAUUCCAUGCCUUAAUUGUUACAUGAUUUAAUUGCUUUCGAUGCCGUAAUUUGUAUUUUGUCAUUUAAUUAUUCUUCUAUUAAAUUGUUUGUCCCUUCUAUGUCUCUGUGCAUAUUUGCUACUUGCCUUAACUGUAUUACUUGCACACCUUAAUUGUCGCGUGCUUUACUUGUUCUGUUGUUUUUUGUAAUAUUUGUUGCACUCCUUUGAUUAUUAUGUGGUUCCUUUAUUUCCUUGCACUCAUACUCUUUGAUUGUAGAAAUCCUUGUAAAUUGAGUUAUUGGAUUGUUUAUGUCAUCUAAAAUUUAUUGGGGGAUCAGGUUGCACGCCGCAACGAAAAUUAAAAGAUGAUGAAUUGAAAUAGUGGAAUAAGGGAGGAUACUUGAUAUUCAUGAAUGAUGAUAUGUUGGGAUUGGGUUGUGUGCUGUAACAGAUUGUGUACGUUGAUAUCUAGGGAUUCUUGUUCAUUUUACACUCCUUUUUACUCAAUUUUUGGAUUAAAAAUGUAUACAAAUAGUCCCAAAGGCUUACAUGUUGUACUUGUUUGCAGGGUUUGGUCAAAAAAGUGAUAAGUAGUCAAAACCAGCUCAAAAAAGAGUGAAACAUGCACAAGUACCAUGAACCAGUCAAGGAAUUGCUGCACCAUAAAAUCAACUACAGCUGCAACAGACCUACUGCGGCCGUAGACCAUUCAGUGCGGUCCGCGGUGGAAGAGCUCAGAGAGGUGCACUUUUGGAACUUAAAGCAGUGCGGUCCGCGGAGGAUUUCUGGCAGCCGAAGUAGCCUCUUCGUGGCCACAAUCCAUUUUAUGCGGUCCGCGGAGAGGGGAUUUAGAGAGUUGGGAGUUUGGACAAUUGAAGCCAGCGCGGUCUAUGGUGUGAUUUUAUGCGGACCGCAAUGAAGCCACCGUAGCCGCGAUGCAUUUUAUGAGGCCCGCGAUGGCCAAUUUCAGAGACUGAGCAAUUGAAGCUAAAAGCUCCACUGCGGCCGCAGUCCAUUUCUUGCGGACUGCAGUACCUCCAUCAGGGGUAUUUUUGUCCAUAAAAUUCGGCCUAGUAUAAAUACUUUCUUUUCACAUUUUUACGGCAUCUUUUGUAAACUGUUAGACUCUAGAGCUCGUGAACGGCUUUAUUAAGCUAUUUUGAGUAAUUUGUAGCUAGUUUAGCAUUAAAUCUUCAUUAUCUUAGUUUGUAAUCAAAGCAUAUGGGUUAUCCUUCAUCUAUUUAUCUAUUUUUUCCAUUAUUAUGAGUAGCUAGACCCAUUAGCUAGGGUUGUGGCUCAACCCUAAUGUGGGUAUUUGAUGGGUCUUUUGUUUUAAGGCUUGGAUGUUUAUGGGUGGUUGAUAUUUGGAUUGAUUUGUGUUAUCCAUGUUGAAUUAGUAGUUGCAAACACUAAUUUGUGCCUAUUUGACUUGGGCUCUUCUUGAGAAAGAGAGUUUGAGUUUAGAAAAAUCAGUCCAACAAGGAAUUGGGGUGUAAUCAAGAGAUUGAUAGCUCCAAUUAAAGGGUUAAACCCAGAUAUAGUAAAACCCAACUUGAGCCUAUAUUGCUUGAACAAUUUUGACACCCAAUUGGUCUUGAGAAAGUCAAUUAGCGCAAAGUCACUCAAGCUACCGAGAGGUAUAGAGUGAGUAGUAUCGUGCAUUGGCUAUAUCACAAUUCCCAACAUAACAACUUUUCCUUAGCCUUAAGAACCUGUUACACCCCGCAAUAUUACGACAAUGUUACGUCCUACAAUAUUAUAUUACGAUGAUAUUAUGCCUUGCAAUAUUGCAUUACGAUUAUGUUACGCUUCGCAGUAUUAAGUUACGACAUUGUUGCACCCUGAAGUAUUGUACGUUAAAUUUGUCAUAAGGUAAUUGACAUCAGUCCAAGUAAAAAAAAUUAAUUGGAGAUUAUAAGGAUUAUGCUAUUUCACAAGCGAUUAGUAAAUUCAUGAAGGUGAAAGGCGGAGCAAGUCAAAGAAAAUAAAUUUUGUCCAAGUUUGGCAUUUUGGGGUAAAAUUCGGCCCGAGCUAAAAUACCCGGUAUUUAUGGACUAGUGUCAUAAAAGGUACUACAUGACCAUGCUAGUAAGGUGUAUAAGGUAUGUGAAAAGUGAGUAACAUUUUAAGUAAGUGGGAAUAAUUCUCAAUUUUGCGGGUAAUUGAUUAAUUAACGGGUAACAGGACAUUAUCUAAUUAAUUGAGGAUAUAUUUGGAUAAGAUUAAUCCCUCCCCACAAAAACGUGGCAGCACAAUGAAGUAUCAAUCAAAGCCAAGUUAUGACUCUUAUGUCAUGAAAUUAGGUGGCAAUCUAAGAGUAAGACUUAUUAUUUAGUCUACUUACGUGUAAGUGUAGUCUGUUGAUACUUCCUUAACCUUGUGGACAUUGGUUUCCAUUUUAAAAGGCUACAGCAUAACUACAAGGCAAUCUCUUGAAGCAUGGUCUGGUUUGCUGCUUGAUAAAAUUAAGGCUAACAAUUUCUUUGGACACACCCGAAAGUUUUUGAACGUCCUUCUUCAUGGUUCAAUGCCAACAAUAAAUCAGCAAGAAAUAUUUGAUCACCCAUCUGCUAACAUGAGGUGGAUUCGAUUAAAUUUGGAAGCGCUGCAUCACUACACUUAUAAUUUAAGGCUCCAGCAAAUAUAGGAAUUUGCAGUAGUAACGUGAAGUGGCUUCACUAUUUUAUUCGAAGACUACUUAAUACUAUAACAACAUGGGAUUUGCGAUUCUAAAGGAGUGUGGUGCAAUCUUCUCCAAGAAUAUAAUACGGAGUUUUCCCUACUCAAGGUAUGUUAAGGCUAUCCCUUCUUUCUUUGGCAUGCUCCAUAUGAUACGAACGAAAUAUGCAAAUGCACAAAUUCCAUAAAUGACUCUGUUCAUAGAAGUAUUAGAGAUGUCUGUGUUCUUGAAUUUCCAUGUGUCAUAAUAUUUUAUCAUCUAUUCAUGGGUCUCAAAAAAAUACGAAAGUUGAAAAGAUGUUACUUUAUGAUAUUGCUCAAGAGGCAAAAUGGCCUUAUGACAUUCUGAAUUAUUUUAUUGAUAUACUUUUCAUGCAUUGCAUUCAUGUACAUUGACACAUGACUCAGACGGCGUUAUUUACGCGUAUAUAUGUAUAUAUAUGUAUAUGUGAUAUAGGAAAAGGUUACGGCGUUAUAUACGCACCACCACCUGAUCAGUUGGUAUAUGAUGAUGAUAUUUCCCACAAUGGCUAAAAUAUGAUUCAAACGGCGUUAUAUACGCGUAUAUAUGUAUGUAUUCAAACCGCGUUAUAUACGCGCAUAUAUGUAGGUAUUCAAACUGCGUUAUAUACGCGUAUAUAUGUAUGUAUAUAUAUGUAUAUGGGAUAUGGGAAAGGUUACGGCAUUAUAUACGCACCACCAUAUGAUCAGCUGGUAUACGCUGAUGAUUUUGCCCACAGUGGCCGAUAUGAUUUGAUGGGAUGCCCUCAGAGGCUGAUGAUAUUAUGAAACAUGUACCUAUGUACGACAUGACAUUCAUACGCAUAUGCAUGACGCUAAAAGUAAUUUAUGAUUUACAAAGUUAUUCAGACUUACAGGUUGAGUCAUGUACUCUAUAUUUCUUCCAUGUCUCUUAUGGAUUUAUUUAUGUGCCUUACAUACUCGGUACAUUAUUCGUACUGACAUCCUUUUUGCCUGGGGACGCUGCAUUUCAUGCCCGCAGGUCCCGAUAGACAGUCGAGAGCCCUCCAUGUAGGCUAUCAGCUCAGCGGAAUAUGUUGGUGCGCUCCAUUUGCUUGGGAGCUGCUUGUUUGGCUGGUAUGAUUUAGACGUGUAUUGUUUGGUAUGGCGGGACUCUGUUCCGACCUUUUGUAACAUUUAUGUAUUCUUAGAGGCUUAUAGACAUAUGUCAUGUACGUGAAAGAUUGUACGGCCUUGUCAGCCGAUGUCUUGAGUUUAUAAAUAAUUAUGUUGGCCUAUUAGGCCCGUAUGUCAUGUGUAUAUGAUAAUGUAAUAAGAAAGAUACGUUACGUUGGUACUCGUUUGAGUAAGGUACCGGGUGCCUGUCGUGGCCCAUCGGUUUGGGUCAUGACAAAAGUGGUAUCAGAGCAGUNNNNNNNNNNNNNNNNNNNNNNNNNUACUCUAGAUCGUGUGGUAGAGCUCACUUAUAAGGAUUCAAAUUCUAAGAUUCAUUUUUUAUUAUUCGUAAUAAGACGAUACCUACAUCUAGAAAGAAGGUUGGAAAGAGAGAUAGUUGUGGAAGAGCUGAGUGAGAGGAAUUGGAUUUUUGUAUGAUGCUUACGAUAAGUAAAUGUAAGGUCUUUAGCAGAUCAUGGAUGUAAUGAAAGGUGUAAGGUUCCUGAUAAGAAGCCUUAGGGCAAGAAUGUCUAUCAAUUUUUAUGGUGAAAGACAAUGAGAGAUUAAGAAGAUAAAUAUAAGUUUCAACAAGCAAAAGAAGCAAGAUGAAGAAGUGUACGAGACACCUAAUUAAUGAAGGUUAACAAUGUUUAUAAUUCAGGCAGAGGAGUAUAAGCCUUUUGAGUUAUAUUCAACAGUAACAGAGGUAUGUAUAAUUGGCCGUACCCAUCUCAAUUAUUCCAUAUGGGGGGCUAACAGGUGUAGUUUAAGAAAAGGACGGAACAUCAAGAUCCAGCGGGGGUUAGAGUAACCCAAAAUGGUGAAUGGAUUGUUUGUGUUAGUUGAAAUUGCCGAAGGAUAUUAAAAAUGUGCUAAUAGAUCUCCUUGUGAGACACCAAGAUGGUGUACUCCAGAAUAUUACAAUUAGAUGUGAAUACUAGCAUGAAAAAAUAAAAUCAGAAGAUAGGCACUGAAAGCCUGGAUGGGAUAAAUAUUACCUUAGUGUGACUCUCGUCCCUAGUAGAGAUAGGAAGUUUAGCAACCCGAAGAGCCGAUGAAUGAAGCAAGGAGAGCUAAAAGCGAAAGAAUGUCCUGUUGAAGUUUUCACAAGAAAAGGGAUAUGCAGAAAUAUUAGCAAAGUAAUGAAAAGAGUGAUAAGGAAGUAUCAUUCAUAAGGUGUGAUACAUGGAUAACGAUGGUAGGAAAAAAGAAGAAGAAAUGACAGUAUUACAGAGUCUAGUCAAGUGAAUGAAGAGACGAGAGGUGACAGGCCUUAGGACAACAAAAGAGUAUAGGCCAUGAAGUCAUAUCCUCAUUUUAAGAAGUAAGUUCGUGACUCUAAUGUGAUUACCAAUAGGAAAAUCUAGACCCCAGAAUAAUAGAGAUCAGUAUGGGGUAGUGAACAAGAUAAAGUAAACAUGAAUUAGGAAUUUAGUGAUUUUAUAAUGGGCGACAUCAUGAGAAUUUCAAAUUUCGUGCCGGCAAUAAUAGAAUGGACAACAGAAGAAGAUUCAUGAGAAAUUCAGAGAAUGGUCAUUCAGGAAGAUGCUUCCCUAAAGCAAGCAAUGUGAGCAAAGUUAAGCUUAAGCGACUGUAUGUGCCAAUUACACUAAAUGUCACCAUCGCGAGUGAGGGAUUUUGUUAUCCUUGGUACAAAAGGAUUACCGCAAGGUGAGUAAGGGCCAUUGGUAAUGCGAAAGGAUGCCAAAGAUGAAGGGUAAAAACAUCUAUAGGCAAGUCGUCAUAGAUCCAAGUCUUAACACUCCCCUAAAUGGGGGAAUAUGGAGUAAUAAAAUAAAAAAAUAUGCGGUAAACACGAAAAAGGAAUGGGAUUACACUUAUUUAGAUCCUACGUAUAUGCUACAAUUCUAGAACAUUAUGCAAAUACGACGUCAAUGAGAGGAAGUAAGGGUCCCUACCAGAGAUUUUAUUGAUAGAAAAGAAGUCAGUGCGAGAUAUAAGUUAAGAGAAAGGCAAUAACCCAAGAAAGAUUUCGCGGAAUAUUGACAUGGAGAAUUUAGCCCCGCAGUUAUAAAAUUGUAAUAAUUGAGAUAUAUUCAUAUAGGAGUUGGAGAAGUUAAAAAGGUACUGUAUAAGUUUUACAUAAAUAAAAGAGAGUGCCUUAGGAAGACGAUCAAAAUAUCAGUCUAGAAGCAACCCCACAAGCACAAGGGCAUGGAGAUAAGUUACUACGGAUAAGUAUAGGCAAGGAAGGAUAGUAGAAGGUCCGUCGAGCAUACGAUAUAUUAAGCUCGCAUCUUUACAAGGUUCAGAGGAUCCUCCCUAAAGUACUACAGUGAAGGACUAGCUGAGGAAAUGAGAAAGAAGGCUUCAACCAAAGCAUAGUGACCUAAUGAAGAAAUGGUCAUGUAAAAGUAGUCUCACAACAAAGAUUGUAUGCCCUCCAAAAGAAAGUGGCACCUACCGUGGCUAAUGAACGGGGAGAAAGAUCGAAGGUAAUAUUCGAGACUAUAUGAGUUGCACAAAAACUUCAGCAUGCGAGAGAACGUAGAUAAGCUAAGUAUGCACGCAAAAGGGGGCAAAAGGACCAAGAGAAGCAAUUGCCUACAUUUGAAGAAACCUGAAAUGGAACGAAAGGAAUUUUUCGAUUAAUGAUCAACUGUAGAAGACUCCAGUAUAAGCUAAAAGAAGGAAUUGGGUCCAGCUCAUAAACAAAGGAUUGAAUCAUUAGAAGACUAUAUCAUGGUUUUCCAUAACAUCCAUAAAAGGCGAAAGUAAUAACUUAAUGCCAUGAGCCACAGAUCGGAAGAUAGCUUGAGCCUACAAAAAGGGUAAUCAAAAGAAAAAGAAACUAAAGAAUUACAUCACCCAAGUAAAUCAGGAGUCUGAUUAUGGGACCUAGAAAAAAUAUAGAAGUUGUGCUUGAGAACAUGACAGAAUCACUCUUAAUAUCAGAUGUUCAAGAGAAAUAACACAACAACCAUAAUCUAUAAUGGCUCUACAAGGAAUCCAGUUAGAAGAAGUACUAGCCUCAUAAGAAGUUAGUACGAAGCUCCCACCGGAUUGUGUAUGUACCAGAGGUGCGAGUAUUAAAAUAGAGCUUCAAGUUAUGGACGCGAAUUACACCUAGGUACAAGGGAGGUCAGGAAAGAGAUAGAACAUAUGCUGCGAGAUUUUAAGGAGGUAAAGGUGAACAACGUAUGAGAUACUCAAAGGCAGAAGAUCGUGAAUAGUACAUACUUCAGAUAGAAGGCUAUAAGCCUGGGGAUAUAAUAACCGGGAAUGAUAGCGGCAUCGUCGACGGCAUGUCUUCCAGCCUAUGGUUUCUAAAUACUGAGAGAUCUAGUUAAGAGAAUAUAGAAAAGUUGGAGACGAUGUGAUGUCUCGCUUGACGUUCCAGAAUAACAUAAGUAAAGCUAUGGUGCAAGCAAGUUAAAGGAAAGUUGCGAGUAGUAUAAAUGGAUAUGUAUAGGUCGCAACCUAAAGUAUGGCUAAGAGAAAGUUUUAAGGAAACAUCAGUAAGGAUGAAGAAAGGAAAGUAAAAAGGUGACGAGAGUGGAUAAGUCCUCAGGAUUAAGUCCAUCGAAACAAGAGAGAUAAUGGUUUCUCUAAGUUAUUGAAAGUUCAGUAUAGCCCGAGUGAACUCAAAGAAGUCUAGGAUUAAUAACAUUUAGAAGGAAUAAAAUGCUGAUCUGGUAAUAAAAUGAGGGUAUAAUUGUGACAGAUAAAUGAUGAUGUUUGGGCCUUCGUUUGAAUAAUGAUUUGAAAAAAAAGAAAAGGAGAAAAUAUUUCGCUGGCGACACAAAAUUAGGAUACCCUCCAUAAAGGUGAAUCACAUUGAGAUACUAUGAAAUAUGAUUAUGGGAAUCAUUUCUAAUAUUCCUUGAUAUAACAAAAGCCUUAGGGGCAAAGUAUUACAUAAGAAGUUUCAAGUUAUCAGUGGUAUAUUGUAGAUCAAUAUUGAGGUGAAUCAACAAUGAUGGACAAAAGUCACAAAGUAUGAGAUAAGAUUAGGCCGUCAUUCGAAAGAUGGGCAAUAAUGAGGAAGUAUUAAAGGACUUAAAUUUAUACAUAUGGAAUAAGCAACGAGAGUAAGUUGGACCUUGGUAGCAGACCUCAGCAACGAUAAAUUAAAAUAAGAGUUAUGGCAGCAAAUUCAUACGGAUGGCUAAACAGACCUAUGUGAUAAGAUAAAUAUUCGUGAAUUCAACAAAGUACAGAGCGAAGAACUUCAGUAUACUCAUAGAUGCCCAAAGUGAAGUCUUAUCAAGCUCUACAUAUAAAGCAUAGAUUUUGGGCACACUUACAAGGUCAAAAUUGUACAGGCUGCAUGAUGAAAGAUAGCAACAACUACGAGAUUGGAAGGAUUCCGACUACAAGUUGUGGUGUGAGAAAGAGGCCAAAGGGGGGACUACCUGGAUUUUGGACUCAUUCAAAUAAUAGAUGCGUAGAUGACAAGGGAAGUACUAAAGUAUUCAGAAGAUAUAGGUUAUGAAAAUGAUAAGUGCAUCAGUCAACAUUUGAGGAUGAAUGUUCCAAAGGGGGGAAUGAUGUUACAACCCGCAAUAUUACGACAAUGUUACGUCCUACAGUAUUAUAUUACGAUGAUACUAUGUCUUGCAAUAUUACAUUACGAUUAUGUUACGUUUCACAGUAUUAAGUUACGACAUUGUUGCACCCUGAAGUAUUGUACGUUAAAUUUUUCAUAAGGUAAUUGAAAUCAGUCCAAGUAAAAAAAUUAAUUGGAGAUUAUAAGGAUUAUGCUAUUUCACAAGCGAUUAGUAAAGUCAUGAAGGUGAAAGGUGGAGAAAGUCAAAGAAAAUGAAUUUUGUCCAAGUUUGGCAUUUUGGGGUAACAUACGGCCCGAGCUAAAAUACCCGGUAUUUAUGGACUAGUGUCAUACAAGGUACUACAUGACCAUGAUAGUAAGGUGUAUAAGGUAUGUGAAAAGUGAGUAAUAUUUUAAGUAAGUGAGAAUAAUUCUCAAUUUUGUGGGUAAUUAAUUAAUUAACGGAUAACGGGACAUUACCUAAUUAAUUGAGGAUAUAUUUGGAUANNNNNNNNNNNNNNNNNNNNNNNNNNNNNNNNNNNNNNNNNNNNNNNNNNNNNNNNNNNNNNNNNNNNNNNNNNNNNNNNNNNNNNNNNNNNNNNNNNNNNNNNNNNNNNNNNNNNNNNNNNNNNNNNNNNNNNNNNNNNNNNNNNNNNNNNNNNNNNNNNNNNNNNNNNNNNNNNNNNNNNNNNNNNNNNNNNNNNNNNNNNNNNNNNNNNNNNNNNNNNNNNNNNNNNNNNNNNNNNNNNNNNNNNNNNNNNNNNNNNNNNNNNNNNNNNNNNNNNNNNNNNNNNNNNNNNNNNNNNNNNNNNNNNNNNNNNNNNNNNNNNNNNNNNNAUAUAUGAGAUAUAUGAAAAGGUUACGGCGUUAUAUACGCACCACCACCUGAUUAGGUGGUAUACGAUGAUGAUAUUGCCCACAAUGGCUAAAAUAUGAUUCAAACGACGUUACAUACGCGUAUAUAUGUAUGUAUUCAAACGGCGUAAUAUACGCGUAUAUAUAUGUAUAUGGAAUAUGUGAAAGGUUAUGACGUUAUAUACGCACCACCACCUGAUCAACUGGUAUACGCUGAUGAUUUUGCCCAUAGUGGCCGAUAUGAUAUGAUGGGAUGCCCUCAGAGGCUGAUGAUGUUAUGAAACAUAUACCUAUGCGCGACAUGACAUUCAUACGCAUAUGCAUGACGCUAAAAUAAUUUAUGAUUUACAAAGUUAUUCAGACUUACAGGUUGAGUCAUGUACACUAUAUUUCUUCCAUGUCUCUUAUGGAUUUAUUUAUGUGCCUUACAUACUCGGUACAUUAUUCGUACUGACGUCCUAAUUGCCUAGGUACGAUGCGUUUCAUGCCCACAGGUCCCGAUAGAUAGUCGAGAGCCCUCCAUGUAGGCUAUCAGCUCAGCGGAAGAUGUUGGUGCGCUCCAUUUGCUUCCUAGCUGCUUGUUUGGCUGGUAUGAUUUAUACAUGUAUUGUUUGGUAUGGCGGGACUCUGUCCCGACCUUUAUAACAUUUAUGUAUUCUUAGAGGCUUGUAGACAUAUGUCAUGUACGUAAAAGAUUGUACGACCUUGUCGGCGGAUGUCUUGAGUUUAUAAAUAAUUAUGUUGGACUAUUAGGCCCGUACGUCAUGUGUAUAUGAUAAUGUAAUAAGAAAGAUACGUUACGUUGGUACUCGGUUGAGUAAGGUACCGGGUGCUUAUCGCGGCCCAUCGGUUUGGGUCGUGACAGAACCCGUCAAGUAUUCACCUAGGAGAAAGUCACUUCCCUAGUGCCUUUUUAACUAUUUAGAAAAUCUUACAAGUAUUUACUCUUAGUUUUAUUUAGCAUAUCAAUAACAUAAAAUUAGAAGUAACAAAUAACCAAACAUGACUGGAAGUGUAAUUAAGAGCAAUACACACUCCUAGUUUAGAUAGGAAUCCAAUUCCCAAUUCUAGCUCCCUGUGGAUUCGAUCCGGACCUUCUCGGGUAAAAGCUGCUUCGAUCGCUCUAGCCACUCCGUAGUGGUGUAGGGUUGGACCCGAUCACUUUUUGGCGCCGUUGCCAGGGAGAUAACUGUUUUGUCUAUCUAUUUAAAUACUUUUAUGUAUUUUUUUUCUUUCCUUCUAUGUUACUAAUUUGUGUGUGUCGUCAACUCAGGUACAAAAUGGCGGCAAACAUCAACAACUCACCUCUUGGAGACCUUCCACCGGGGGAGGAGGUAGAUGACAAUAUUGAUGACGAGGUUCCUAUAGUACCUCAAGGACAAAGGAGGGGCCGCCAGGCCAAUGAUAAUGUUCCAGAACCUCCCCCGCCACCUCCAAGAGUGGCUCCUCGAGUGCUUCCCAAUCAAGGAUAUGCUAGUGCAAUUGUCCCACCCCAGAUCCGGGCGGGAAAAUUUCAAAUUACAAAUGUGAUGCUGACCUUAUUGGAGCAGUGAAGGUAUUUCACGGGUGCUACCCAUCAGAAUACUUUCAAAUAUCUCAAGAGUUUCGUGGAUACCUGUUGGGGGAGCAAGCAAACAAAUGUGUCCGAGGAUGCACUCCGGUUGAGACUAUUCCCUUUCUCACUUAAAGGGACAACUUUGGACUGGCUUGAAAGGCUUCCCAACCAUUCCAUCACUACUUGGGAUGAGUUGGUGGAUAAAUUUAUUGCAAAGUUUUUCUCACCGGGACAUAUGUCAACAUUGAGGGAUGAGAUUUUAGCUUUCAAGUAGGAGCCCAACGAACCAUUACAUGAUAUAUGGGAGAGAUACCGGAUCAUGGUAAAGUAAUGUCCCAACAAUGAUAUGACUGAGGCAAUUAUACAACAGACAUUCUACCGAGGCAUUAACACAACAAAUCAGUGCAUAGUUAACCAACUUGCCGGGGGUAAUUUCAUGAAGUUGCCUUAUGAUGAGGCUUGUGACAUUCUUGAUGAGAUGGCUGACACGUCCUCCGCUUGGCAAAGUAGAGCCAAUGUGCCACAGGAUGACCCCACGGUCACUCACUUGGAUAAAGAGCUCCAUGAUCAUGGGCAGGCAAUAGCAUAAAUGAAAACAACAAUGAACUAGCUAGCAAAGGCACAACUACAACAUGUUCAAAAUCCACGUCAGGUAAAUGCUAUGGAGGGUGUAAACAUGCUAGUGAACAAAAUAAGACAAAUAGGUCAACAUAACCAAGGGAGUUCAGAUCAUUAUGACCAAGAUAGUGGUGGAUUCCAAGAUGAUGGGUAUGAUGAGCAAAAUGAAGAAGUGCAAUACGUGAACAAUUAUCUAGACCAAAGGGGCAAUUCUUCCAACCAACAACAAUGGAGACCCCAUGGCAAUUGGGGAAAUCCACAACAACAAGGCAAUAGUAAUUGGGGGAACAACAACCAGAAUGCAAAUUGGGGCAACCAGAAUCAUAAUUAGAUCAAUCAGGGUAAUUGGAGUGGCAACAACAACAACUGGGGUGGAAACAACAAUCAGGGUGGUUGGAACAAUAGCAACCAAGGCAAUCGGGGGCAAGGCUUUCAAAGGCACCCAAUGUAUCAACAACCGAAUAAUCCACCCCAUUUCCAUCCCAAGGUCAUCGUUCUUCCAACAACGAAAUGGGGAGCAUUCAAAUGAUGUUUGAACAGAUGAUGAAAAAGAAUGCGGACUCCGAUGCCCAGUUGGCAUCCUACAAUACAUCAAUCAGAAACUUGAAGGUUCAAUUAGGCCAAAUUUCACAAUCGUUGAAUACUCGCCCUAAGGGGGCCCUACCUAGUGAUACAGUAGUCAACCCGAAGGGUGGGAACAAUUCCGAGCAUGUAAUGGCGGUAACUACAAGAAGUGGAUGAGGCGGUGAUGUGAAUGCAUCCAAAUAAAAAGAAGUUUUGAGUGAUGAAGUUGAGUUGCAAGAAGAUGAGAUCCCUUUGGUUGUUGAAAAUGCGAUUGAUGAGAACGUGAAUGAGAAAGUGAGUAUUGAUAUCCAAGAUGCCGGGGUGGAAACUCAAAAUGACAUGAACCCGUCUGGGGAAUACGUAAUAAACAUGCCGGAAACGAUUGUGCCUAAAGCCAAGGCUCUUUUGCCAAGGCCACCUCCACCUUAUCCACAAAGGCUUGCGAAACAGAAAAACGAGAAUUAGUGUAAGAAAUUUAUUGACAUGAUGAAGAGCUUAUCCAUUAAUGUACCUUUGGUGGAGGCUCUAUAGCAAAUGCCGGGUUACACUAAAUUCAUGAAAGAUUUGGUGACAAAGAAAAGCUACAUGGAUUGUGAAACUAUCAAGAUGACCCACCAAGUUAGUGCAAUAGUGCACUCAAUGGCUCCAAAGCUAGAAGAUCCUGGUGCUUUCACCAUUCCUUGCACCAUUGGGAGUGCAGACUUUGCAAAAGCUUGGGGGCAAGUAUCAACUUGAUGCCCUACUUAGUUUUCAAGACUUUGGGAAUUGGGCAGCCGAGGCCGACUUCCAUGAGUCUGUAAAUGGCGGAUAGAACAAUGAUGAGACCAUUGGGUAAAAUUGAUGAUGUUCUUGUCCGGUUGGACAAAUUUAUCUUUCCGGCUGAUUUCGUGAUCUUGGAUUAUGAGGUAGAUAAUGAGGUGCCGAUCAUAUUGGGAAGACCUUUCCUUGAAAUGGGGAAGGCCUUAGUUUAUGUAGAAGCAGGGGAACUCACCUUCCAGGUGGGUGAUGAGAAAGUGGUCUUUCAUGUGUGCAAGUCAAUGAAGCAGCCCAACAGUUCUGAAGUGUGCUCUUUUGUGGAUCUUGUCACUGUAGUGAUAGUUGAUGAUACUAGUGCAAUGAUCAAUGUGGAGGAUCCUCUAGAAACGGUAUUGUUGAAUCUUGAUGUCAAUGAGGAUGAAAGCCGGGUGGAGUGUGUCAAUACCUUACAUGGAAUGAACUCUUACUCUUAUGAGCCUUGGAAACUUUCUUUGGAUCUUGAGAAUAGGAAGACUCCACCAACAAAGCCUUUAAUUGAUGAACCUCCGAUGUUGGAGUUGAAGCCGUAGCCUCCACACCUCAGGUACGAAUUCUUAGGCCCUAGCUCAUCGUUUCCAGUUAUUCUUUCCUCUUAUCUAACUAACAUGCAGGUAGAUGCCACAUUGGCGGUGCUCUAAAAGCGAAAGAAGGCAAUUGGAUGGACCUUAGCUGAUAUUCCGGGAAUAAGCCCCACCUUUUGUAUGCACAAGAUUAUUCUUGAAGAUGAUGCAAAGCCCUCCUUAGAACAUCAAAUGAGGUUGAACGAGGCAAUGCAAGAAGUUGUGAAAAAGAAGGUGAUCAAGUGGUUGGAUGUCGGAGUUGUGUAACCCAUAUCUGAUAGCUCUUGGACUUCGUCGGUGCAAUAUGUGCCCAAGAAGGGUGGUAUGACCGUGGUUACUAAUGCACAAAGUAAGUUGAUUCCUACCAGGACUGUCACCGGAUGGAGGGUGUGCAUAGAUUACUGCAAGUUCAAUAAAGUGACCCGCAAUGAUCACUUUCCAUUGCCUUUUCUUGAUUAGAUGCUAGACAGACUUGCUAGGCAUGCCUUCUACUGUUUCUUGGAUGGGUAUUCUGGGUACAACCAAAUUUUGAUUGCUCCGGAAGAUCAGGAGAAGACCACCUUCACUUGUCCAUAUGGUACUUUUGCCUUUUCUAGGAUGCCAUUUGGGUUGUGUAAUGCACCUGCUACAUUUCAGCGGUGUAUAAUGGCUAUUUUCACCGACUUGGUGGACGAUAUUUUGGAGGCGUUCAUGGACGGCUUCAGUGUUGUGGGUGAUUCAUUUGAUGAAUAUUUGAAAAAUCUUGAUAAAGUUUUGGCUCGUUGUAAAGAAACCAACCUUGUACUUAAUUGGGAGAAAUGCCACUUCAUGGUUGAGGAGGGCAUAGUCCUUGGCCAUAAAAUUUCAAAGCAUGGUAUAGAGUUGGACAAAGCAAAAAUUGAGGUGAUUUCAAGGCUCCCCCCUACUUUUGUCAAGGGAGUUAGAAGUUUUCUUGGGCAUGUAGGGUUCUAUCGGAGAUUUAUCACGGACUUUUCGAAGGUAGUGAAUCCCUUGUGCAAGCUAUUGGAAAAAGAUGCCAAGUUCAUGUUCGAUGAGGGAUGUAUGCAAGCCUUUGAACUUCUCAAGCACAAGUUGACCACCACUCCUAUUAUUACCGCACCCAAUUGGAGCUUGCCUUUUGAGCUCAUGUGUGAUGCAAGUGAUGCAGUAGGGGCAGUCUUGAGUCAAAGAGUGAGCAAAAUGUUUUACCGGUGUACUAUGCGAUCAAGAUAAUAAAUGAUGCUCAAGUGAAAUACACAGUGACUGAGAAAGAGCUUUUGGCUAUUGUGUUCGCAAUAGAGAAAUUUCGGCCGUAUCUUAUGGGUGCCAAGGUUAUAGUUCAUACCGAUCAUGGCGCACUCUGUUACUUGAUGACGAAGAAGGAUUCCAAAGCUAGGCUGAUACGAUGGGUCUUGUUACUUCAAGAGUUUGAUUUGGAGAUUGUGGACUAGAAGGGUAGUGAAAACCAAGUGGCGGACCACUUGUCCCGCUUGGAGGAGGAGGGGAGGCCUCGUCAUGGCCUAGAGAUCAAUGAUUCAUUUCCCGACGAGCAACUCCUUUCUGUGUCAGUGAAUGGUAUGCCAUAGUUUGCGGACGUUGCUAAUUUCCUUGUGACUGGAAUUGUCCCGUGUGAGCUCUCUUCUAACCAAAGGAAGAAGCUCAAAUGGGACAGUUUGGACUUCUAUUGGGAUAAGCCAUACUUAGUCAAGAUUGCACGGAUGGUGUGAUCUGAAGGUGUGUCCCGGAAGAGGAGUAAUUGAGUAUCUUAGAGGCUUGUCACUCCUCCCCCUAUGGUGGUCAUCAUGGCGGGGUGAGGACCGCUUCGAAGGUUCUUAGUUGUGGGUUUUAUUGGCCAACUUUGUACAAGGAUACGGGUGAUCUUGUGAAGAGAUGUGACGAAUGUCAAAUAGCGGGUGGAAUUUUGAAGAAAGAUGAGAUGCCUCUUAAUACUAUUCUCGAAGUUGAUAUUUUUGAUGUGUGGGGCAUUGAUUUUAUAGGCCCGUUUGUUAGUUCAUGUGGGAACACAUACAUUUUCAUGGCGGUUGAUUAUAUUUCAAAAUGGGUUGAAGCCGUGGCUUUACCUAACAAUGAGUCCCCAAGUGUUGUUGCAUUUCUCAAGAAGAGCAUUUUUACUAGGUUUGGCACUCCUCGAGCAAUCACAAGUGAUGUGGGGUCUCAUUUUUGUAAUCAAGCUUUUGACACAUUCCUUGCAAAGUAUAGUGUCAAUCACAAAGUUUCUACUCCUUAUCAUCCUCAGACGAGUGGCCAAGUUGAAGUCUCAAACAGGGAAAUCAAGAGUAUAUUGUCAAAGAUGGUCAAUACAAAUAAGACCGAUUGGUUAAAAAAAUUGGAUGAUGCUCUAUGGGCUUAUAGGACUGCUUACAAGACUCCGAUUAGUAUGUCUACGUAGUAGUUGGUGCUUGGGAAAGCUUGCUAUCUACCAGUUGAGUUAGAGCACAAGGCCAUGUGGGCUUUGAGGAAGCUGAAUCUUGAAUGGAAUGUGGCAGUAAAUCUUCGUGUGAAGCAACUUAAUGAACUUGAUGAAUUUCUAUUCCAUGCCUACUCCAGUUCGUCCUUGUACAAGGACAAGAUGAAGUACCUUCAAGACAAAUAUGCUCGUGGCAAGGAGUUCAAAGUGGGUGAUUUGGUUCUCUUGUUCAAUUCUCGGUUACGUCUAUUUUCGGGAAAGCUUAAGUCGAAAUAGAGUGGACCUUUUGAAGUGGUGCUUGUGACUCUUUUUGGUGCACUUGACUUGAAAAACAAAAAUGGAGAGGUCUUCAGAGUUAUUAGGCACCGGGUCAAGCACUAUCUCGGUAAGAUUGAUGACAACCACGUGAUGGCACUGAUCCAUCUAAAGUGAUUUGAUGGCAACCUGCGUUGUGCCGCUACGUUAAAUCAGGCGCUUCUUCGGAGGCAACCCAUGUGUCUUUCCUUUUUCUUUUUCUUUGAUUUUCCUUUUAGUGUAGGAUUUACUUUUGGACUAACUGGUAGUGAGAUGUGUGUAGGGAUGUUUUAAUGCAGUGCAGGCCAAAAGUGAAAAAAUGUGCACUCUCUGAAGUUUGGACUGCUGCCGCAAUGCAUUUUUCGCGGCCGCAAUGGCCUUGUUGCGGUGGAAAAAUUUCAUUGCGGUCCGCAGUGUUGAAUGGUAAAAAGUGGAGGUUCUAUAAAGAUUGUCACCAUGGCCGCAAUGCAUUUUAUGCGGUCCGCGAUGCCCUACCACAGUCGCAGUGCAUUUCUUGCGGUCCGCGGUGACUGCCUUCCCAGUGCUACAUACUUUUGAGUACCGCAGACCGCGGUGCUUUUUAUGCAGUCCACGGUGGGUAGGUAUAUUGGGUCCCAAGUCCUUCUUCUAUAAAUAGGACCUUAGGUCCUCAUUUACCUUUUUCACACUUUUGCUCUCUAAAUAGUAAAAUCACUGUUCAUCCUAGCCCUAAGCACAAAUUUCACGCAUUGUCUCAAUCAUUUGUGUGCAUCUCAUUACUGGUAAUUUAAAUCUUUUCCUUGUCUUUAAUUUUGUUUUAUUUCCUUUUAAUUUUUUAGUUCAUACUUCAUCUUCUUCCCUUUUUCUUUUAAUUGUUAACUUAGGGUUACUUAAUGAUGCUUAGAUUAGGAUUAAUUAGUGAAAAAUACUGAUUGAACACCUAGGGGAUCAAUAAUAUGUGAAAAUUAGGCUAAAAAUGUGAAGAAAAUUGAUACCCUAAGUUGGUGUUGUUGGGUUAAGCUUACCGCAACCGCAAUUGUUUUUCUACGGUCCGCGGUGCCUCUUUGCGGUCCACUAUUCCAUUUUAUGCCGACCGCGGUAGUGAAACUUCAGAGAGGUGAAUGUUGAGGACCGCGACCGCAGUCGAUAUUUUGCGGUCCGCGGUGCCUUACCGCGGCUGCACUACAAUUCUAGAGGUCCACGGUGCCCUUUAUCAGAGAGUGGGUAUUCUGACCCCGACCUCAAUGCGGACCACUGUGCCAUUUUAUGUGGCCUGCGGUGGUCCCUUUGCGGCCAUAUUGCAUUUUAUGCGGUCCACAGUCAGCUGUCUACAAUUAUAUUCGGAGCUCUCUGCAAUUAUAUCCUUCAGUGUUUCUCCUGGCAUUGUGAUACUUACAAGCUUUAACUGAAUUCCAUUUGUAGAUAAUUGUUCAAUCACGAGGCAUUGGCAGAAAACAAAAGGGAAAAGGAGAGUCCUCCCAGGGUAGGGAUAAGGCAUGAUCAAAUUGACCCCCCAAGUCCGGCAGGCAAUAGAGGAAACCAGAAAGUCAAUCAAGGCUGCGAAUAGAGUUGCUUCCCAUUCAGAGGGAAGUGAGUAUGUACCCCCCGGGAGGCAUCUGACUCUAGUUCAGUGCCAGAGUAUGUUCCUGACUGGCCGAAGAGGCACAAAUUAAGAGAUACACCUCCGGGCACUCCUACUGCUCAAACUUCAGUACACAUUUCUUCUAUGUCGUCUGAGGGCUCAGCUGAGGGCAGUGACAGUGAAUCAUCUACCACACCUACUGGUUCAUCACCUGGAGAGGAUCUCGUCGACGAUGAGGUUCCAGAUAAAAAAGGAGGGGGUGUGCCACAACCCGAGUGUGUGGAGAGAACUAGAAACCCCGAGGUGUGGAAAAGAAGAUUUGUUAGUGAGAUUUCUUAUCACAAAUUCCGAGAGUGGUGGCCCGAGAGGAAGUUGAUACUUGAACAGAGAUUUAUUGACAAGGAUCUUCUGCCUCACAACCAUAAUGUGAGGAGGCAAUUCAGAGAAAAACCGGGAUGGGAGUAUUUUACAGGCAAUGUUGAGGAUGCAAAUGAGCACCUAGUCAAGGAGUUCUAUGCUAAUGUUGCCCACAUAAAAAGGGCAUGAAAGUGACUAAGGUGUAAAAUUUGACAGUGAAGUUUGACGGAAAAACAAUCAAUGACUACCUCGGCUUUUUGGAGGAAGAUGAAUCAUUAUACCUAGAAAAGGUAGCUUUGGGUGAGGAUGCUCGUCCGUGGUUAGCAGAGUACUUGGCAAUCCCAGGUACCACCCCAGCAUGGUUGACAACAGGAGUCCAAAUUUUGAGGAGGACCCUGAACUUCGAGGCAAAAGGGUGGGAGACCUUUGUGUGCAGCACGAUAGACCCCACCACUCAUUAGAACUCUCUUCCUAUCUCCCAGGCUAUACUGGUGGCUUCUAUCAUUGCGGGCUACCCGAUCAACAUCGGGAAUGUUAUAUCUAGGGUGAUUACAAGGGUGGUGAAUGAAGGCAACAGAUCCUACCCUUUCCCAUAUUUCCUAACAAUGUACUUUGAGGAUCAGGAUGUGGAGAAAAGGAAGUUCGAUAUAAAGGUAAAACCAACGACCCCAUUUUCCUAGUAUAACCUCAAGGGUGCUGACAACCCCAAAGACCCUAAAGGCAAAGCCGCUGCUUCUACUGGCCAGUCUGAAGAGCUAAUAGUAGUGGUAGUCCUUGCUUCUCAGCCACCCACAGCCACACCAGAUACUGCCCCAGGACCCUCUACUUCCACAGUUCCAGAUAUCCCCUCAUCCUUAGCUUACCCGUUGACUGCCUACCGUUUGAGCCAAACCCUUUCCAGUAUCAACAACUGGAUGUAAGUAGCUACUUCUAAGUUGUCUGUGCUUUCUAGCUCGGUGGAGGCCGAGUUCGUACCCCCAAAGCUACAGGUCCCAGCCUCAGUGGAGGAGACUCUCAAGCAGCUUCUGGACAACUAGAAGAAGUUCCUGGAGAACGUGAAACUAAUAUUGGAUGCUGUAGGUACUCAUGGAAAGGUAUUGAAGAAGCUUGCAAAGGAGACAAAGAAGCUGAGAAAGACUCGCGCUUCCAAGGAGUCGGUGAAGGAGUUAAGGGUAGAAGUGGAGAAGAUGAAGGCCGCUGACCAUCUACCAUUGGACCUGCUAUUGCGUGACCCGAUUCCAAUAUCUCAGCCUAAGCCGGAGUAGGAUAUGGAGAGUCCAACAAAGAGGAAGAUGGUGAUUCCCUGAGUUGAUGAUGCAAUGAUAGAGUUGGAGGACCCCUAGAGGGGGUUCCUCUAGCAAGCCUUAGGCCCCAAAGCAGCCUUAAGUCCCAAUGUAGACACAGGAUACCGGGAUCCAGUCACAGGCUCUUGAGUAGUCACAGGACCCAGGGACCCAGGCUCAUGAUCCCAUGCAGACGGAGGGCCAAUAGGGAGUUUCUCUUUACUCUCUACCUUUUAUUGACCUAUUUUUGGUUAGUUAGCAUUGAGGACAAUGCUAGCUUUCAUUUGAGGGGGUAGCCCUAUUUUGAUGACAUUGGGUUGUAAAUAUGAUACUACUUUCUUUUUAUUAUGCUUUCUUUUUUAACUUUUGGUAUGUAUAUAAUUUUACAAGUUUAUUGCACUUUUCGUACUUUGCAACUUUGGUCUGUAUAUAAAGUUACUUUCUAAUGUAUAUAUUCGUUCCCUCUUAUGUAUAUUCGUUUAAACCCCCCUAUUGUACAUAUUCAUUUUACUUUCCGCAUUUUCUUUCGUAGCUUCUUACUUCAUUUUCGUUGCUUCAUAUUUUGAUUUUGAGUUUGAGUUCAAUAAGCCUUUCGUUUUCUUAAUGCCAUGGUUCUUUCCAAAGGUGGAAUUUGUGUGAAUCAGGUGGCUCUUCCCGAUGAUGGAUGGCGUGACUACCUUCUUAAGGGUUUGAGUCUGUUUUCUUUUUGUUUUUUUGUAGUUAGUAGCUAAUGAGUAAUAGUGCCUCAAGCAAAACUUCACUUGGGCCUAACGCGUUUGCCUUUGAUCUUAUGGUCAAAAAUAAAUUGUUGUGUAUAGGAUGGUGAAAGUUGUGAUCUUGAGACUCUUGUGUUGGCCGAUAAUCAUCAAAUGGUUUUUCAGGACUGUUUGUGUUGCUCAAAUCUUAGCUAAGUUUGUUGUGGGCCCCUGACUUUGCCUCUUUAUCAAUCUUAUAGGUUGUGUGGUGAGAAUUUGAAUUGCAAGUCCAAGUCCCGUGCCAUUGGUCUAGAACUUGCCCUGAAUGUUUGUCGAGACGAAAUCUUAAGUGUAGUUUGACUUGAGAAGUAAUUAUAGGCUCUCCUUGAUCCGAAAAAUAUCUUGAAAACUUCCAUAGACUACCAAUAAUCAUAUCCCUAAUCAACACUUUUGAGCCAAAGACUUUUUCUUUCAAAGACCAUGAUACAAGCCUUUACCCAUUCUAAAAAGACCCUCUCUUGGUACCUGAUCUUUCCUUAGAACAAGGCAAAAACAUAAAUUUGAGGGGAGAGACGAGGAAUCCAACAAAGUGGUAAAAGGUAAAAAAUGAAGAAAAGGAAAGGCAAUGAAAAAGAAAGAAAAUCAAAAAUUCAAAAAGAAUGAACAAUGUUGAAGAAAUGAAGGAAUUCAAUAAAAGUAAAGAGAUGAAAGGUGUGGAAUGUUUAGAAAGGAGAAAAAGGUUUGAAAUAAACAAGAAAGAGUGACAAUGGUUCUCUCUGACCCCUAAGAAAGAAGUAAAUGACUUAAAAAGUCAAGAGAAUGUGUGCCAAAAUGAAGCAAAUGAAGUGCUUAAGGAAAGAUGGAAUCUACUUAGACCAAAUAUUUCCUACCCUAAACCAAAAGCCUUCACUAUAUCUCCAUAAAAGCCCUAUAUGAUCUUGAGUUGAAUGAAGCUUAUAUUAGUGGUGACUCACAUAAGGGGCAAGCUUAUGGUACUUAGAGCCGGACUUGUGACCUUUCUUCGAGAGAGAUGAGUGUGUUUUCCACAAUUCUCAUUCUGAGUGUUACAAUCUAAAAGUGAGGUUUGAUUAAGGAGAGUUGAGGAGUAUGAGUUUGGGUUCCACAAUGACCAAAGUAGUAGAAAAAGUUUCCUUGAUGUGUUGAGUAAAUUCUUGAUGCUCUUGUGUCGCACUAAAACCAUGGUGCUUUAAAAGGUUGAAUGUGUUAAUGAUUCAUUUGAUUUGAGGGCAAUUGUUAGUCCCAAUUGAUGCUAGAUGAGGUCGCUUUAGGUCAGCUGAAUUUUCUUGGUUUUACUCUUAAGAAGGUGGGACUUAUUUUGUUUGCUUGAGGACAAGCAAAAACUUAAGUUUGGAGGAGUUGAUAAUCAGGGAUUCUCAUUCAUUUUACACUCUUUUUUACUUGAGUUUCGGAAUAAAAAUGUAUACAAAUAGUCCCAAAGGCUUACAUGUUGUACUUGUUUGCAAGGUUUGGUCAAAAAAGUGAUAAGUAGUCAAAACCAACUCAAAAAAGAGUGAAACAUGCACAAGUACCAAGAACCAGUCAAGACAUUGCUGCAGCAUAAAAUCCACUGCAGCCGCAACACACCCACCACGACCGUAGACCAUUCAGUGCAGUACGCGGUGGAAGAGUUCAGAGAGGUGCACUUUUGGAGCUUAAAUCAAUGCAGUCCACAGAGGAUUUCUGGCUGCCACAUUAGCUUCUAUGCGGCCGCAAUCCAUUUUAUGCGGUCCACGGAGAGGGGAUUCAGAGAGUUGAGAGUUUGGACCAUUGAAGAUAGCGCGGUCCACAAUGUGAUUUUAUGUAGACCACAAUGAAGCCACUGCAGCGACAAUGCAUUUUAUGCAGCCCGCGGUGGUCAAGUUCAGAGAUUGAGAAAUUGAAGCUAAAAGCUCCACUGCGGCCGCAGUCCAUUUCUUGCGGACCGCAGUACCUCCGUCAGGGGUAUUUUUCUCCAGAAAAUUUGGCCUAGUAUAAAUACUUUCUUUUCAUAUUUUUAGGGCAUCUUUUGUAAUCUGUUAGACUCCAGAGCACGUGAACGACUGUAUUAAGCUAUUUUAAGUAAUUUGUAGCUAGUUUAACACUGGAUUUUCAUUAUUUUAGUUUGUAAUCAAAUAAUAUUGGUUAUUCUUAAUCUAUUUAUCUAUUUAUUCUUCCAUUAAUAUGAGUAGCUAAACCCAUUAGCUAGGGUUGUGGCUCAACCCUAGUGUGGGUAUUUGAUGGGCAUUUUGUUUUAAGGCUUGUGUGUUUAUAGGUGGUUGAUAUUUGGAUUGAUUUGUAUUUUCCAUGCUGAAUUAGUGGUUUCAAACACUAAUUUGUGCCUAUUUGACUUGGGAUCUUCUUGAGAAAGAGAGUUUGAGUCUAGAAAAAUCAGUCCAACAAGGAAUUGGGGUGUAAUCAAGAGAGUCAUAGCCCCAAUUAAAGGGUUAAACCUAGAGAUAGUAAUACCCGACUUUAGCCUAUAUUGCUUGCAUAAUUUUGACACCCAAUUGGUCUUGAGAAAGUCAAUUAGGGCAAAGUCACUCAAGAUACCGAGAGGUAUAGAGUGAGUAGUAUUGUGCAUUAGCUAUAUCACAAUUCCCAACAUAACAACUUUGCCUUAGCCUUAAGAACCCGUCAAGUAUUCAUCUAGGAGAAAGUCACUUCCUUAGUACCUUUUUAACUAUUUAGAAAACCUUACAAGUAUUUACUCUUAGUUUAAUUUAGUACCUCAAUAGCAUAAAAUUAGAAGUAACAAACAACCAAAUAUGAUUGGAAGUGUAAUUAAGAGCAAUACGGACUCCUAGUUUAGAUAUGAAUCAAUUUCCCAAUUCUAGCUCCCUGUGGAUUCGAUCCCGACCUUCUCGGGUAAAAGCUUCAUCGACCGCCCUCGUCACUCCGUAGUUGUGUAGGGUUGGAACCGAUCAUAUGUCAUACUUGAUAUUGGUUAUUAAUACUAUGGUAGAAUAAGGGAGGACACUUUAUAUGGAUAAAUGAUGAUAAGGUGGGAUCGUGUUGCACGACGCAACAGAUUGUAAACGUGAUAAUAGAUAUUGAUAAAGGAUGUUACAGUGGGAUUGAGUUGCGUGCCGUAACUGGUUGUAUGUGUUGUAGUUGUUAUUGUUGUUCUAUAGUUUCAGUAUUUUUAUUUGAGAUUACGAGGUUGUUAUUAUAGGCUUUUUGAUAGUGAGGUUUGAAUGCAUUUUCAUAAACUAAUUGAUUUACUUUCAUUUCCUGUUUUCUAUCCCUGUUAUUAUUAUUAUUACUACGUCCAAGUUACUGUAAGUGACAUGUUUUAGCCUUAUCACUAUUUCACCGAGGUUAGGCUCGACACUGAGAUCGGUUUUACUCGUAUUACAAUCUGCACUUUUGUGCGAAUACCGGAGUUGGUGCUGACAGCGUUCAGUGAAGUCGCCCGGAUCUAGCUACUGGCGGAGACUUGAGGUAUAGCUGCACGGUGUUCGCAGCCCUAAAAUCUCCUUCUAUACCAUCUUAGUUGUUUAUUUUAUUUCAGAUAGUUAUAUUUUUAUUCUGACUAUUAUUUGUAGUACUCUAGAAGCUCAUGUAUUUGUGACUCCAGUUCUGGGAUUGUAUUUGGAUUUCACCGUUUAUUAGUUUUUCACCUUAUUUCAGACUAUUCAGUUUUAUUGUUAAAAAUGGUUAAUAAUUAUAUCUAACGUUGGCUUGCCUAUCAAGUAAAAUGUUAGGCGCCAUCACGAUCCCGAGGGUGGGAAUUCCGGGUCAUGACAGGUAUUCAAAUAUUUAAUUCUAGUUAAUUAAGCAUGUGUUAUAACCUCAACUUCUAUUCUACCAACUUAAUGUCAUCAACACUUAAGAGGUUUCUGCCCCAAGUUGCUCUUCCAAGACAACUAAGGCUCAAUGAUAAGCAAUUGAUUAGCUCAAGCAGAAAUCACACUAUUCCUAGCUAGAUUUCGUUAAUAAAAUGGUAAACCCACUUAAUUCCUUACAAAUUACUUUAUACAUAAUCUAAGUUCUACUCUUCCAAGCUAGAACAAGCAAAAUAGGUAUGGAUUUAGUGUUUCCAACUACAAAAUCAAUAAAUAAAGGAUGGAGUAAUUAGAUAACACAAAUCUUAAUCAAAAUUUGAAUUUAUGAUAAUAACCCAAAAAUAUUACCAUACUUAUGGUUCACAAUCCUAGCUUAAUAAACUUAGCUAGACAUACUAAGAAGUAAAAAUACAAAAAGAGAUAAAAAACUAAAGAUAAUGGCUAAAAAGGAAAAAAGAAUGUGUAAAACAAUGGUGAAGUCACCCAAAAUCCAAAAGAAUAAUCCUUAAAGCUGCUACACAAAGUAUUCUUGUCAAAAGAUGCCCUAGAAUGACUUAAAAUAGCUAUUUACACUAAGUCCCAAGAGUGGACAAAAUUUCCCCGUCGAGCCAACCAUGAGAUGCAGUUGAACCGUAACGAAUUCUGGAAACAUCAUUUCUUCAACUCUUCAGGAUUCUCUUGAACCGUGUCCAACGGUUGGAGCAACCCUGUCCAAUGGUUUGCCUAAAAAUUUUUUUACUUCAACUUUUCUCCAAUUUUAGCUUUAAAGUGAUGACUUCUUGCCAUCUUUGAUAUUCUUCAAUUCCAAAGUUCUCAUACAACUUCAAAACCCAAAAAUACACCAUUCAAAUCACAAUUAUCCAAUUUAUUCCAACAAAUAGGGCAUUAAACUCUAUCAAAACAUAAGAAUAAUUAGCUAAAAAGCUAAUGAAUCAACUCCCCCAAACUUAUACGUUUGCUUGUUCUCAAGCAAAUCAAGACUCAGACUUGGGCAUCAUUUCAUUAAAGCUACAAAAUAUUUAAUCUCACAAGCUAAAGCUAGCAUCGCAACCAAGCAAAGAAGCAUUCAAGCACAGAAACUCAUGACUUUGGAUGGUACCAUAACUAUACUCAAAUGUAUUGACCCCUCAAUAACUUCCAUAGGAUUCGAUUACAAAACCACAUGAGUACCAAUAAAGUCAAGAAGAUUUUCAAACUAUGAUCCCAAAGCUUCUAAAGUUAUCUUUAAGUCGCAAAGCCACUUUCUUUUGUUCAUGUGUCUCAAUUGAGAAAAGAAACAUUAAUCACACUCGAGUUUCCAUGUGCCUCACAAAUAAAGAGACAUUCUCACAUGCAUUACUAUAUUUUCAAAGCAAAAGUGGGAUAUGAACAAAAGAAAUAAGCACUCUCACUCACAAAAGAAGUUCAAAUAUACAAAAGCAGAACCAUAGGCUUGCCCCUCGCAUAAAUCUCCACUAAUAUAGGUGUGCCUAGUUCAAAAUAAUUUAGGACUUGCGGGAAUGUAUUGUAGAAUUUUUUUGGAGGUAGGGCAUCAAUAUGAGUAAAGAGUAACUACGACCUUCCUACACACUACAAUCUUGACAAUUCAAAACGUAAUUCCUUUCAAAAUUUCACCCUUUUUGCUCUCGUUUUCAACUAGGCGAUAUGAUUUCAUAUCGAAUUACACUACUAGAGCUCCUUAGUUUGCAAGGCUUUCCUUUUGUGAUCACCACCUUUGUCAUGAGUCUCUAAUCUUCCCUUUUUAUUUCAACCUUUUUUUACUCUUCCUCAAAUUGCUAUUUUUUUCAUUAUUGUUUUAAUGUCCUUGUUUCUUCACCUUCAAGUAGCUUCCACAUCACACCUUUUCCAUCUCCCCCCAUACUUAGGCUUUUGGCCUAUAAGAAAUUUGGGGCAUCAAAAGAGGUUAUCAAAAGAAGGGGAAAAUGCUUGCAAUGUGGUUGACAAUAAAAGGCUAAAGGCUCAAAAAUGAUAACUAGGAUAAACUUGUCAAGUAGGUAAUUAAAGGCACAAACGGUCCAAAGAAAGCCUAAAGUUAUUUUCUAAACCAAGCACAACCUAGAAUUUCGCCUCGAAAUACACUUGGGGCAAGUUUUAGACCACAAUUGAUACAAAAGAACUCAACAAUAACCUCACUCACAUGGCACCUGCACACUAAAAGCAGAUAUAUGUAUUUGAAGCCCAAUUGAAAUACAUGAACGCAAAAAGUUACCACAACCUAAAAGCUAUAUAGUGACAUUAAAGCUAAUAAUGGAACCUAAGGAUCAUUCCAAGAAUAAGUAACUCAACUACUUCCUAGAAAUUUCAAAAGCAUGCAUUUCAUAGAAAGUUAUUUCAAAGCAUACAUACAAGCAGUGUUGGUACCAAACAAGCCACAAGUUGACUUUUGGACUCCUACACUAUUUUAUUCAUUACUACCUAUCAUUCAAAAGCCGGAAACAAUCAAGAUUACCUAGUUCGAUAUUGCAUUUUUAGGAAAGAACCAUGAUGAAGAAAACCAUAAGAGGUUAUUACUAAUUCCUAGAAAAUAUAAAACAAAAGAUAAACAAAAAUAACAUAAAAGAAAAGACUAAAAAAGAAAACAUAACAUCAACUAAUGGUAUCAAAAAGUGACAAGCAUACCAAAACUUAUCUAUACCCUUCCCCAGAAUUUGCAUUGCCCUCAAUGCAAUUAAAACAAGUACAAGAGUAGGGUCAAUACUCCCUCAAUCUGAGCAGGGUGGCAAGCUCAACCGUUGACAACAGUUGAUGAAACCGUGGCCUACAGUUUACUUCAUGGUUUUCUUGAUCAUUUCAGACUGGCUACAAGGUUCCAACUCCAUUUUCCAACAUCAAGCUGAGUUGCUUAGCUUGGGAUAUACUAGACACUAACACUACGAUUUAAGUGACCAUGUCUCACGAUUUUGCUUCACAUGUACUGUCCAAAAACUGGUUUAAACCGUGUCCUAGAGUUUAGCUCACGAUUUGGUUCAAUUGUUCCCAUGUAGCUCUAUCUUUUCUUAGACAAUUUUUCUCAACCUCUCCACUUUAAACCUGAACCCUACAAAUAUGUAAUGCCAAAAAUACAUCAAAGCAAGGGAAUAAAACACACUACACUACCAAUACAAAAUCAAAAUUCAAGAAUAAAAGGAAAAAUAUCUUGGGUUGCCUCAUACGAAGAGCCUUAUUUAACAUUGUGACACGACAGUCCAAUACCAAUCAAGUCAUUAGGGUUCCCUCAAUAGAAUUUUUGAAACUACUUUUCCUCUAUCAAAUCUGUUACACCUCAUAUCUUCGUUUGAAAGAGUAUUCGUUAGUCAAUUGAUGUAAGCUCAGAAAUAAGAUCAUCUUUGAGAGUACAUAUAGUAAGUUAAUCAUGUUACCUUGUGGGUUACAAAUUUUUAAGAUCAUUGAUAACAAGUACCGAUAGGGUUGAAAGACUUAGAAGCUAAAUUUUUUUUUUUGACAAAAAAUAAGUUUCGUCGAAAGUCGAUAAGUUUGAAAUAUUAUAACAUGUACUUUGAGGUGAGACUAGGGUUAUUAACGUGAUAAUGAGGUUACAUUAUUAGUUAUUUUAGGCUUAUGAUAGCCAUGUGUUACAUUUUGAAGUCAAGACGAGUUGUGGAACAUAAGUUGGCAAAGGUCAUCACAAGUUAUAUUCAAAAAUGUGCUAAAGAUUAGGUCAAAUGUAUCAGAGGUUUUCUACCAAUAUACAUGAAAUUAAUGGAUGAUAAACAUAUCAAAUUGAAGAUCUAAGAGUCUAAUUUCUAACGCAUUAAACCUUUCAUUGAUACAACAUUGGAGGAGAAAGAUAUUUGCAGUUUUGCAAGACUGCCCAGACCGCAUAGGUGACAAGUAGUUGGGUCACUGAAGCUAUUUUAGCAAUACAUUUCAUGUGUUAUAUGAGGUCUUUUUGGGACAUAUUAUAUAAAAAAAUUGAAGGUCUUGAAAUUUAGUUUCUAACAUGCUUAACCAUUCAUUCAUACGAUAUUCAGAUAAAAAGAUAUAAACAUCGGAAGAAGAGCCAAUAAUAGGGUGCCAAGCUAGAAACUCUUUGACUUUUCAAAAAAUGGAUAUUGAUAGCUUAUAUGAGUUUACCAAAAUAUAGAGUACCUGGUCCUCUAUGAGACUGAUACGUAGAAUGCAGUAAAGACUGAAUGUAAAUAAGGCAAGAAUAUUUUUACGUGGAAAAUCCCACACAAGGGGAUCAAAAAACCACAACCUACUCUUGUAGGCUUUUAACUAUACUAACUUGUAAUCUACCUAUUACAAGCCACUUUGCAAACACCCUAUUGCAAAGACUUCAAACUAACUUGUGAUAAAACCACCACAAGCCACUCUCUAACUCUCCUAUUUACAGAGGAUUUAACUUAUGACUAUUCCUAGUCACAACAUAAACUCUAAAGUUUAUGAAUUUGGUUUGUUCCUAAGACAACGCUUCUACAAAAGCAAACUAGGAAUUACAAUGUUGAACAAUUAACAAGAUUACAACUCAACUAUGGAUGUACAUAAAACUCGUUUAAAAACUGAUCCUUAGUGGAGAUGUCUUCUUGUUCUUGACACACCAGUGACUUCAAUUCCAGAUAAAUGCUUCUUCUUCUUGAGAGAAUAUCACUAAAUGCUCAAGUGAUGGUGUGUCUUGCACCAGGUUGUUUUAUCAAAAAAGAUAUCACAAUGGAUAGUGAUGUCAACUCUUGGUGUAAUUCUUCCCAGUGAGAAGUGACUGCUGCACUAUCUGUACAGCUACUUUUGGGCAGUUGCGUUCUAGCUGGAUAGUGGACUUUGUACUUCUAUCAGGACACACCAACGGACCAGGCCCUAGACCUGUUCCUCUUCUGUAACAAUUGCCGGAUGGUCACUUUCUUCUGCUACAUUCCAGCUGUGCACUUGACUUGUACUUUUGUUAGAGAACCCUAAGGGAGCAGGUCCCUGUUGUGUUCCUCUUUAUAUUGAUUGCGUACAAUCACUGUCUUGUUUGUGUUAGAGAACCCUAAGGGACUAAGUCACCAGGUCUCUGUUGUGUUCCUCCCUGCGUCGUUUGUCCAUUUGCUGACAAGUUCAUAUGAAACGUAUCCUGUAGAACAGAUUCUCUAUCUGGUUCUUCACAACAAGUUUGUUAUAUCAUUAAAACAUAAGAAGCAUAAGGCUAAGGCAGUGAAAACCCAUCAAUUUCCCCCUUUUUGAUGAUGACAAACUUAGGUAUGGAAAACAUAUGUUUGGGUCAGAAUUAACCAUAUGAGAUACCAGUUCCCCCUUAAUCUUAUAUCUCCCUCAUUGUCAUUUUUAGUUCCCCCUCAAUCUCAGACUUGAUUUUUUAUAUAUCACAGGCACAUAUUACCCCCUCAACAACAUCACAUAUUACCCCCUCAACAAUUACCCCUCAACAACAUCCGCUUUUCCCCCCUUUUGGCAUAAUUAAAAAGAACAAGUGUGUCGAAUAGCACAAGUAGGUAAUAAUCAUAAAUAAGUCUAACACAGCUAGCUUAUGCCACAUAUGUGCACUCAACAUGACAAAAAAAAGAGGCUAGAGGAGCAUAGUAUUGUACAUGUAACGAAAAGGAAGUUGUUUUAUUGAUGUUUACAUUGGACUGAGCAAUACAGGAGCAGUAAUGGUUAAGUUCAACAUGCCAUCAUAAAAACAAGUAAACACAAGUAAAUCAGCAGCCACAGGAAGUUGGAGCAAAAAUAGCUUAACACUAGGGAGGAUCCUAGGGAACACUAAAGGAAGGAGGCUUGGAGGAAGAGACAACAAUGGUUUUGAGAACCAGGUCCAGUCUAGCAUUUGCAGCUAGUUGUUCUUCAAGUAGUUGAGCCCAAAGUCUCUCGUUUUCCUUUCUCAGUCAGGCAACCCCCUCAUGUACAGAAUCAGGUCCCUUAGCUGCUUGGCGAAGCUGAGUUUCCAGUAUGGCAUUUUGAGCCCUCAGCCUUCUUAUUUCCUCAGAGGCUACAUUUUGAGCGUUUAUCAGCUGAGAAAUAGUCGAGAUGCUUCCACCAAUUUUUUCUAUACAUUCACAUUCUUUUAGUGUGGUCUUAGAGAAGGUCUACUUGAGUGUGCCCACUCUAGGAUUUCCCAAGGGAACCUUAUAGAAUCUGAACACUUGAGUGAGGAGAAAGCCAUAAGGUAACCCAUGAUUGCCACCCUUAAAGUUUGCCACCUUCUGCAUAUGAUCUAUGAUGAUUCCGGCAAAUUGAUUGGUACAAACUCAUUAAGCGCUUCCAUGAGGAACAAAUCUGAUUUUGUAGCAAUGGAACGUCUUUUAGAGCGGGGUAAGAGUACUUUAUUAACCAGUUCAAAGAGAAGCUGGUACUCAUGAAACAAUACCUUCUUAUGGACAUGUUCCCCCUGUUGAAUAGCUAGCUCUUUCGUGAUGGCUUUCCGAAAGAUUAUUCCAUAGACAUCCUUAACUGAGGACACACCUUCACACGGAAUUCUGAGAAUUUUUCCCAAUGUUGAAGCGUCGAGUACGAUAUGCACUCCAUUUACAAGCUCAUAAAUGUGAUCCCCCUCAAUAGUGAAUAGAGAUGCGUAGAAGGUUUGCACUAUAUCUUCGUACACCAGAGGCAUGCUCUUUUCAAAUAGGUGAUCCCAUUGUUGAAAUUCCAUAAUUUCCAAAAUUUGUCUCAUGCCUGCCAUCUCCGAAAUUGCUAGAUUAAAUGUUCGUUCCCACAAUACUUUUUGAGUUCUUAAUCUCUGCUUCCAUAAAACACCAUCACAGUUCAAGGACCUUGUUGAACCGGGUUUCUUAACAGUUUACCCUUUUUGUUUGCUAGUCCCUUCGACAGACUUUCCUUUCCAGCUUGCUGCCCCCAUAGUAUUGUCCUCAAACACGGCUAGCUCUUCUUUACUCCGUUUAGACUUGCUGCUGUAUUUCACGGAUGACCCUUUCUGUUCCAUAACAGUUUCCUUAAUCGUCAUAUACUGUUGCACUAAGGAACCAGGUUCCCUAGAAGCAUUUUUGUCUAUCUAGUUUACUGACACACUCUUGAUGAAAUCCUUUGGAUUCAUUUUCCUCUUUUACCUUAUCUUGACACUCCUCUUACUUUUCUGUAAUGAGGAUUCAAAAUUCUCUUGCUGUAGUAACUUGGUGAUGGGUGAUUUAGAGGAAGACUCCAAGAGCUUGGAAUGAAUAGGAGGUGUAGGAGUGAGUUUGCAUGGAAGUGAAUUAGGUUCAUCAGAAGGUUUUUCUGAGAAUAUCUCAUGAGAUAAGGACUCGAGGAGUGCUGUGGUUCUUACAUUUCCUAGAUAUGGAAUGCCUUCCCCCUGAUACUUAGAAAAGAGAUAUGCUCCUUCAUUCAUCAGACUAUUAGCAGAUAUAGCCAUAAUGCUAUGAGCUGCUUCCUUUUUUGGUGACUCCUUGAGAGUCACUGAGUCCAACAUGGAGGAGUUCAAGUACUGGUCAGAAUCCUCAGGGGCUUCUAAUACUCGAGAAGUAAGACCUCCUGUGUGGUCUUUGAUGAGAUCGUAGGAUUGACUAGACGUAGGAUUCUCAAAGUAGUGGUAAACAUGAUUUAUCAGAAAUGGAUAAACUGUAGGGGUGGAGGAGGAACCAAAAGUGUGUAAGGUGGUAGAAGGCAUGAAAUAAUGAUGCUCUAGGGAUGGUUUCAAGGAUAAUGAUGAAGUGAGAGCAGUGUUAAUGGCGGGGGAAUGAUUGUUCGAUCGACAUUAGAUGAGUACUUAGUAGACGAGUUAGAGAGAGAUGGGAAGAGGAUCCUAGCUAUACACGAGAGAUGAAGGUUCAUGACUUGCCAUGAGAGAGAAAGAAAGUUUUAUUGGAAGAAGAACUAAUGAUGAGUGGAGAGCGAAACAGGUUCUGAAUAGUUCUGAAAACGGCGGUAGGUUUGUGGGGAUGUUUUACCGUGCAGAGGGGAUAAAAGGAUUUGACGGACAAGACAUGACACACAGGCGUUGAAAAGUGGGAUGAUGUGGCAGCUGAAUUGCAAAUAUUUAUAUGUUUUUUUUGUUUGGAAAGGGCAUGCAAAAUCUAAGCACAUUACUACUGACCUGAGAUACAGGAACCUGAUGCCAGAGCAAUCUAUUGCAGAGGGUUUUAGCAGCUCCCCUCUUGCAGUUCAUAACUAUGCCUUUAGCUUCUAUGAUCGGCAUGCAUGUUUACUUACAAUGGUAUUGAUGUGAGUUAGGCUUGGUCAGAAAACACUUUAGCUACCCUUACCUGAAGGUGUCUUACACAUCCAACAGAUGGAGGAUCAGGUUCUUCAUUAGAUUUUUGUGACCCUAUCUUCACCUUGAUUUAUCCGAAAUAUUCACUACUUGAGGCUUUGAUGCAGAUAUCUGGAGUUUGGUCUUCUGUUCUGCAAUGCUUCCCACCGAUCAAUCCCUUCUACAUAUUGACCCUCAGAAGAGGAUCUCACCCUUCAAUUUGUUUGCAAUUUCUCUCCAGUUGUUGAUGAGGUCAUUUUGUUUUGCUUCUUUGCCUCCCUGAAGAUGAGACAUGAAUCAUGACAGGUGCACUUUGGUCUUCCAAUUUGAUACAGAAGUUGGCUGAAGAGAGAGAUAUGGAGAUUAAUUUGAUUUCCCCACACUUUGUGUUAUGCUGCUUGUGUAGUGCCAUGAGCUGCAUCUUUACAUCUUCCUUCAGCUUCAGUGGUAGCAAGUGACGUACCAGGUUCUUUGUGAGACAUGAUGGAUGAUGUUGCGUUGUCUUUCGCUAGUCUCCUUCAUAUUUCUCACUUUAUCAUCCUCCUAAUUUGAAGCAUCAGAUAUUUCCCAAAUACAGGAUUGGUUUAUCAUAUUAAUCCUCACGGUUUCUUUCUUGGCAAGGGAGAGUGUAUUGUUGAAUACCCCACGAGCAUCUCCUGCCAUUUUGUGCUUCCUUUGUUGGAGACCUUGUGGCCUUGUUUUGUGGAUUUUACCCCAGAAGGAUUCCUUAGCUCGUCCUUUUGCAUUGAGCUUCCCAAGCUUAUCCUUCCUAUAGAAAACAACAAGGCAUUUUCUUCCAAUUUGGCAGCUCCUAGUGAGUUUUGAUUUAGGAGGGACCUGAUCCGACACAUGUUUUCAAAGUAGAGAGCAAUAUUCAUGCAGCAAUUUCCAGAUCCGUUCUUUCUUUCAGCUGCGUCAUUUUGGUUAUACAAUCCUUGGAGUUUGAGAAAUUGUGUGAGAUCCCUUCUCCUCUUCCUCUAUCAUUUUUGUGAACUCAUAUCCAGAUGACGCUUGAGUUUGGCAGACCACGGAACAGUUCUGAGUUAGUUUCUUCGAAGGUGAGAAAUUUGCAUAUACUACUCCUUUAUCCCAUGGUUGUGACUUCACUCAUCUCAUACCACCAGCUUGUGUAGAAUGAUGAUUAGCAGGAGUGACUGUUCUUGCUUCCUUUGUUCAUUGAUACUACUUGGCUAGUUAUCAGAUUGAUGACAACACUUUUUAGGUCAUUCACAUAGUGCUUGUUCCCACUCAAGUUCCCAAAGGAACCUUUAUGCCUUUUCAUUCACUAAGAAUGUACCCUUUACUUUCCUCUCAAGGAUACAUUCCCUUUCUACGGGGCUUUCAGUGAGAAGAAAUUCAUGAUGUUCUUUAGCUGCGUGUUUUGAGCAUCUUCUGUCCGUAGUCCAUCUCAGUCCGCUCCCUCUCACUGCUCAUCAAGGGUUAGAUUUAGGAACCCAAACUAGUUUGGGUCCCUUGUUACUAUAAAAAGGAUGAAUGAGGGAUUUCCUGGUCCAUGCAGGCAACAUCCUCUUUUUGCGAGUGGUACCUGGUCCUUUGCAAGUAGUUACUUUAUCAGCAAACACUUUGUUCUUUUGAGCAGACUGAACCCUGGCCUGGCAAUUUUCUUUAAAAUGGCCAUUGUUUCCGCAGUGGGUACAUAGCCAGUUAUUAGGUACAGUGACAUACUUGCUAUGUGGGUUGUAGGGAGUUUUCUCCCUUUGGUACCCGAUGGCUUGCUUGUUCCCACUAUUGUUGAGAUACAUGGUAGUGACAACAUCAGAGGACCAGGUCCACUUCAAGGAGUUCUCAAGAUCUUUUCUUACUUUCUCCAACUCAACUAGGAGUUGUUGAUUCCUCUCGAGUUCACUGCAAAGACUGGUUUUUACAACAGUUAACUCCUUUUCAAGCAAGAUGUGCGACUCACUGGCUACUUCCUUCCCUUUCCCAAGACUUACAUUCCUAUAUUCUCUAUUGAGUCCCUCAAUGGUUUCCUCUAGAUCAGUACAUAUCACUAGUAGGUCAUCUCUUUCCUCUUCAGUAGAGGCAAUUUUUUCUUCUAAAGUGUGUUUCUCAUAGCUAAGACUUUCUAUUGUUGUCUUUUAGAUUAACAACUACUACCAUCAGAUCAUCUCUCUCAUUUUUCACAGUAGUUAUAUUUUUAUUCAGGGCCUCCUUCUCUUGUUCAAUAUUAGCUAUGGUCUCAUUUAAGUCCACUACACAGACCACUAGAUCAUCUCUAGAUUGUUCGGCCUCUCGUUAUUCUACGGUCAGAAUCUCCUUAUCAUUUACCCGGCUAUAAUAGGCAUCAAUUAGGAUAUUAGAUAAAGACCUUAGCUUCUUAGAAGAAUAGGAUUUCAAAUUUCUCUGAACAUCCCUAAAGUUUACCUCAUCGUCUUCAUCCUCUUCAUCAUCAUCAUCAUCUGAUUGUGCCAUCAGCGUGUACAGUGAAUCAUACUUUUUUGCUUCAGUUUCCACUGCCAUCAUGACACUGUUUUCUGCAUCUGAUUCCCUUUCAAAUUCACUUAAAGAGUCACCCCAAGUAGCAAGAGUCUGCUUAACGAUGUUGUCUACAACACUUUUUUGAUUGAAUCUUUUAUCUGGAACCAGGUUCCUUUCUCCUGCCUUGUCAGGAUUUUGCUUGCAUUGCUCCUGUUUCGCGAGUGAGCAGUCUUUGAUGAAAUGUCCUGAUUUCCACAACUGUAACAGAGAUCGUUGUUCCUUGUUUUACUUGAACUUCCCCACUUUGGUAUGCCACCAUUUCUUCGAACUAUUUUUUGAAAUCUCUUAGUAAGAUAGGCCAUGUCACUAUCUUCAUCACUUGAAUCACUGCUUUCAGCCUUAAGCACCAGGUUCUUUUCAUUCUUAGGCUCUCUUCUUUCACUGUCUUUCUUUCUUUUUAUCUCUUAUGUUUUUAGAUUACCAAUCAACUCCAGUAGAUCUUUAGCUUCAGUGUGGCAUUUACCUUAUCAUCCCAAGACCCAGGUAGAACACUGUGAAUUUUCCUUACAAGCUUGUUUUUGGGAAUGACAUCUCCAAGUGACUAAAGCUUAUUAAUGAUGGAGGUGAAUCUGGUGUGCAUAUCUUGUAUAGAUCUGGUGUGCAUAUGCCUAAGGGCACGACAUAGAUGCCCCUAUCAGUGAGCCUCCGGGCCAUAUACCUGUAAGGUCACUUCAACCCGAAGCGCAAAAGGCCAUCGCCAUCUGCCCAUACAAGAAGGAAAUAACUUGAGGGUCAGUUGAAGCUCGAAUCGCAAUGCGACUCGGAGACUGGACCCAAAAUGGCUAAACUACAAUAUGCCUAAGGGCACGACAUAAAUGCCACUAUCAACCAGCCAAGUGAGCCUUCGGGACAUGCACCUGUAAGGUCACUUCGACCCGAAGCACAAAAGGCCAUCACCAUCUGCCCAUGCAGGUAGGAAAGUACUUGAAGGUCAGUUGAAGCUCGAAUCACAACGCGACUCGGAGACUAGACCCAAAAUGGCUAAACUACAAUAUGCCUAAGGGCAUGGCAUAAAUGCCCCUAUAAGUGAGCCUCUAGGCCGCCCACCUAUAAGGUCACUUCGACCCGAAGCGCAAAAGGCCAUCACCAUCUGCCCAUGCAGGCAAGAAAGAACUUGAGGGUCAGUUGAAGCUCGAAUCGCAACGGGACUCGGUGACUGGACCCAAAAUUGCUAAACUACAAUAUGCCUAAGGGCACGGCAUAGAUUCCCCUAUCAGUGAGCCUCCGGGCCAACCACCUGUAAGGCUAUGUCGACCCGAAGCGCAAAAGGUCAUCGCCGUCCGCCUAUGUAGGCAGGAAAGAACUUAAGAGCCCCCGGGCCUGCCUUAUCAUCUCCGAAUCGACGAGGAUCCUUCCAAAACACAGAGACCAGCUCGCCGGAUCAAAGGCAAUACGAGCAGAGAUACAAAGGAGGCAAAAAAGGAGGUAAAACUUCAAGAUUUCUCUCAUUUUACAUACAUAUAUAUGCACGAAAGGUGCGCUCUCCAUCCACAAGCAUGCUCUAUAAACAGUAAAAUACAAAGUGGCAAAAUCUACGCUCCACCCCUAAAAGGUUACGGCCUACCAGCUCCGGCCUCAUUCUUCGUGGCAGCGGCAAAAAACAAACUAGUUAUCACGCCCGACUACCUUCGCUCAAGCAAAUCCUUCUAGAAGGACGGAACCCCAGGCAUGGGUCUCUUCAAGCGCCUGUCCCAAAGAUCUACGAUAAACGCAUCCCUCGAAGUCCCGCUCCGACCCGGCUCAAUCAUCAGCGGCAAGUCGCCACUCCUUCAUCCUCGGUCUAGCAUUAGUACUAAGCCAGUCCAGGCACCGGUCGUUCCCAAUCCAGACUUUUGAGAAAUCAAGCUACAACUUCACAAUUAUAUCCACUCAUAUCAGAGCUUGAAGCCUGCAUUUUGAUACUUCAGGUAUUGCUAGCUCGAUCAGCUCCGCCUCUAAGGUUGAAAAGGAGAAAAAAGACUCCUGCCUCACCAAAAGGGUUUUGUAAAGCGAGCUCCGACAUGUCCCGAAUCGCCAAUGCACCAGCUUAACCCUUUUUUCCUCGCCAAGAAGCCUAAGGGGCCAGACCUUAUCCAGAGCCCCCUAAAGUAUAGCCCUUUGACAGAAUAGCUCAAAAUCCUGAGAUACGGAGGGAUCAUGCUAAAACCUACCACAAGGUGAAGCCGGUAAACCUACUCGACGACCGAGCAUCCUCCUGAUAGCCCAACCCUUGUUGGCCAAAGGAACUGUCGCUCUGGAACUAAGGACCUCGGAAACACCAGGCUCGAAUGAUGCACUCUCCUUAGAAGCACGAGCUCAUCUCACCCCGAUAAAAGCUCCUUCAUGAUUAUGGAGCACACAUCUCCUCUAUCGCCGUGCUCGAUCUUUGCUGUGCCCCAAAUAAGUAGCUGCUAAGGGCAUGACCCACCAUCAUUACAAAAUCAGCGAAUCCUGAGGACCACCGGGAAGCGGAAGCAACCUCACGAAUGCAUACGAAAAGGGCUAGAACGAGUCAACACUAAUCAAAGGCACCGACUUUGGUCUCGAGGUAAUGCUCAACCCCGAAGACCUCCACUAUAGCAAGACAGCGCCCCAGUAGACCAACAAUGCCUUCACCAAAUUAGCAUCCAGCCUCAAGAGGCCUCCACCAAAGAAGGCUGGUUUACGAAGAAAUAGGCAUCCCUAACAAACGCCCGUGCAAAACAGAUUCCGAGUAAUGACCUGGGCGGCCCAAAACAUAGCCUCCAUUCAGAGAUUUCUUCCAAGAAAGCCUCUUCUCAAAGGCCAUUAUGAGGCCCAAAGAUGUUAUCCACGCUUUCAUGCAGGGAAAGGAUCCCGACGGCCCGAGGUUAUUGGCCUAAUUCGGGUUCGGUUCGAGAAAACACAAAAGACCCCGCGUGAAGCUGUUUCAUCAACCAAAGGCCGGGGAAAAUACUCAAAGCCAGCAUCACAUGAGAAAACAGGAUCAUGCACUCAAAGCUGCCAAAAAUAUAAAGAAAUACAGCAAGUAUCGAAGCAAGGAACCAAGAAAGUAUUUUUGUAUUUAUACAAGUGUUCGCUUACAACGACCCCCGAGGGGUCCUUACAUAUGGAUACAUUACAUAUGGUUACAAAAGACCACAGAGGAUCUUUACGAAAGAGUGAAGAAGUACAAGUGAUACACAUACUGCAGGAGCCUAAGGAUCUAACCUAUUCAUGUUGCGUCUCCGUUAUCAUCCUCUCAUGUAUAUGACCUCAAAGACAAUAUCUUCUAAGUCCAAUCCCCUUGGGGACCACAUCCCAAUCCUCCUGUAAUGGCAUCUUCAAAAGGAAGGCAGGGGAGAAGAGCAAAAUGAUGAAGGAGAAACUGAAAGAGCACAAGAAGUGGCUGGGUGAAAACUUUGGCUAGUAUGAGCUCCGCCAGUAUUGCCGUUUUGAAUCCACUUCUUGAGACGUUGCCUCAUCAAGGAAGGCAAAAGCUGGAAGAGACUUCCGACACCGCCCUGGAACCUAAAAGGGGUGUAACAUACCGAGCUGAGAGAGGAGGGUGAGCAGUGGUAUAUAAUCUGAUCCCCCUCUUAAGCAGCGGUGCAUAAUCCAAAGUACUCCCGGGGCCGGAAGAAAUUGAUCCUCUACCUCAUCACCCCGGGCCAACGUUAGCAGCAGCAACAACAACAACAACAGCAUCACAGUGGCGCAACUUCACCCGAUCGAAAGAGGAUCGAGGGUUGGGCCACAAUACACAUGGAAUAAUAACUUGAGGCCACAGGCUCCAAACAUGACAAGAUGGCAGAAAUUCAAGAUAGCGGGAAAGGAAGAAAAGAUAGAUAUCAAAGGAAAUUUGGAUAAAAGUCCCAUCACGAAAAGCCCCAUUUAUAGGGAGAGCAAAGUAACUGGAGACGCUAUUACCACCCUUGGAAAGCGUAAUAGCAGGAGCAAUUAAUGCGUUCAUAGAAGCUGAACCGAUAUCAACAAAAGAUCGAAGAAUCGCGACAUUUCGGGUAAUCUAAGAGAAGUGGGAAGGCAAAAUGCCUCGACACCUGUAAAAAGGGGGCUGCACCUUCAGCACGAUGUCGUUAUGGGGGAUCAAGAAAUGGAGUAUCAAAAACAUUUCUUAUCACUUCCCUAUAAGAAAUGCGGAGACUAUCUGUACACGGUGAAAUCUGGGAGACCGAUUUCUCCUCAACUGAAUACGUCGAAGGGUGAUCCCGAAAUCUCGGAAUCUCGAGCCAGUCAUUUCCCUCGAGAUCGGGCAAUACCCUGCCAAGGAUAAUGUCGGCCAAAGCCUCAGCGAAUAUAGGGACUUCUCGAGGAAUGCACCCAAGGUCGAUCAGGUCUAUUCAAGUGGCUCGACAUCAGCCCACACACACAUCAUAGAGAUAGUCGGUUGUCCCAUCCUAUUUUCCUGUAUCACGCAAUGUAUUCUGUACUAAGAUUGGACUUCCCCCCUUGUAUAGAAGGGGAGUAGCUAACACCCUAUAAGGGCAGAGCUCCAUUUUCUCCACAAGUGGAAUAAUAUCUUCUCUCUUUCUCCUUUCUAACUCGCUUGCUCUCACUGGUUCGAAGUCAUUUAGCUUUGUUGUCUUCUUGCCUGUUCUUUGUUUGCCACUCGAUAUUGGCUCGAAGUUAUCUCGAUAUCCAUUGCUUUCUUACUUGUUCUUCAUCAUAUACCUUAAUAGUCGCCAUAAAGAACCUUGUUUAAUUUUAUCUCCAACUGUUAUCCCAUCCUCGACUAUCCCCGGUAGCUCGAGCUCGAGUCUGACGUCAACCCCGAGGUCCCUUAUCGACCAGACCGGCAUCCGGGUAGCAGGCCCUUCGGUUCAAUUAUUAUCUCGUUUUAGCUCGUAUUUAAUCUUUAAACUCCAUAUUAUUAGCAUCAACUACUCUAACAACUAGCUCGAGAAUAGAUCACAUAUUUUUAGAGUAUCAUUUAUAAUUUAAUUCUUGUUACCAUUUUCAAGGUAAACAAAGGGUCAGUGAAGAUGUGAAAAGAUGCCAAAGAUGAAGAGGUAACUAUGGACUAGUAUAGGAAGAAUGCAGUAAAAAAGCGAAAGGGGUGAGAUUGCAUUUAUUCAGAUCCUACAUAUAUGUUAUAACUUUAGAACAUUAUACAAAUACGAUGGCGAGGAGAAGCAUUAAAGGUUCCCUCCCAGGAUGUUAUUGAUAACUAAGUGCGAAUGAACACUUGAUAUGUAAGGAUCCAGUGUGAGAGGUAAGUUAAGACAAAGGAAACAACCCAAGAGAGAUUACGCGGAAUAUAGAUAUGAGAAUGGAUCAACGAGUAGUUAGUAGUUAAUGCAGGAAGAGCCUAGUUAUGGCUAGACAAGAGGAUACAGAUAAAUCAACAGAUCAUGCAAGAUAAACCUAGUGAACCGCAACAUAGGGAAUUCAAUCUCGCAGAUACGACAUCGUAAUCCUUGAGAAAUAUUUAGAUAGGAGUUGAGGUAGUUAUACUUGCCGUAAAAGUGUUAAGGAAAUAAAAGAGAGUGUCGCGGGGGAGACAAUUUUUUUUGAGUUCAGAAGUAACCAUAUGAGAACAAGGGCAUGGAGGUAUGUAACUGAGGAUAUUUAUAGGAGAGUAAGAACAUCAAAAAUUCUGUCAGGUAUAUGAUGGGAUAAGCUCACAGCUUUACAAGAGUCAGAGAGUCUUCCCUAAAUGUUACAAUGAAAGACUAGUUAAAGAAAUAAGGAAAAAGGCUUCAAACUAAGCAUAGUGACCUAAAUAAAUAAUGGUCUUGUAAUAACAGUCUAACUACAACAUCGUAUGUACUCUAUAAGAAAGUUGUACCUAUUGUGACCAAGGAGCGAGAAGUAAAAUCCAAAGUAAUAUUCGAGAUCAUAUGAGUUGCACAAAAUUUCAAUAUAUAUGGGCACUAAGAUAAGCCAAGUAUUCAUGCAACAAGUGGCAGAACGACCAGGAAAAGCAAUUGAUUACUUUUAGCAAAAGCUGAGAAUGCACAGAUGGAUUAUUCAAUCAAUGACCAAAGUUAGUUACGUUAUGAACACACUUAAGAUUUCAGAGUGUUAUCCAUGCAGCAUAUAUAUUGACAAUGAUACAACUAUAGGAGACUCCAAUAUAAGUUAAAAAAAAAGAAUUGAGUCCACGUCAUAGACAAAAGCUUGAAUUUCUAGAAGGUUAUAUCAUGGAUGUUCCAUAGUGUCCACGAGGGGCUAAAGAAAUAACUAAUACCCUGAGCCGCAUAUCAGAAGAUAAAGUAAGACUACUUAAAGGCUAAGAUAGAAGAGGAAACUAAACAGUUACAUCAGCUAAGUGAAUUAGGAGUCUGAUUAUUAGACCCCAAUGAGUAUAGAACUCAUGAUUCAGAACAUUGUAGAAUCACUCUAAAUAUCAGUGGUACAAAAGAGAUAGUACAACAACCAUAUUCUAUAAAGGCUCUAUGAUAAAUCUAGUUAGAAUAGUACCAACCUCAUAAGAAGUCAGUAUGAAGCCUUCGCCGGAUUGCGUAUGCACAUGAUGUGCAAGUAUUAUAGUAGAGCUUUAAGGUGUGUAUGUAAAUUCCACCUAUGUGGAAGGGAGGUUAUGAAAGAGAUAGAAGAUAUGAUGUAUGAUUUAAAGGUAAGUAAGGUACAUACGAAGAAGGUAUGAGAUGCCCAAGUACAGAAGGUUACGAAUAAUCCAGCUAUCAGAUAGAGGGCUGGAAGCAUCGUAAUUCUGUAUCAAGAUAUGAUAGUGUUGUCAUCAGUGGCAUAUCUUCCAGCCUAUGGUUUCAAGGUACAGAGAGGUCUAAUUAAGAGAGUAAAGAAUAGUUAGAGACGAUAUGAUGUCUCGCUUGAGGUUGUAGAAUAAUAUAAGAAAAUCUAUGGUGCUAGCAAGUUAAAGGAAGAUUGCGAGUAUUAUAAAUAGAUAUAUGUAGGCCGCAAGCUAAAGUAUGAUAGAGUGACAAGGUUUAGGAAGACAUGAGUAAGGAUAAGAAAAAGUGAGUAAGAAGGUGACGAGAAUAGGUAAUUCCUCGGGAUUAAACCCAUCACAACAAGAGAGCUGAUGUUUUCCAUAAGUUAUAAAAAGCUCAGUAUAGCAUGAGUGAACUCAGAGGAGUUUAAUACUAGGAGAAUUUAGAAGAGCUGUAAUGCUGCCCUAGUGGUAGAAUUAAGGGUGUAAUUGUGAUAAAUAAGAGGAUGACGUUUAGGCCUUUGAUUGGGUAAUGAUCCAAAGAAAAGGGAUUUCAUGAAUUGUAAAGGAUUAAAAUACCCCAUACGGUGAAUCACAUUGGGAUGCUAUGAAAUACGAUUAUUGAAGUAUAGUAUUGACCCUAAGUGGAUCACGCAAAUAACUCCAGAUGUUCCCCGAUGAGACGUGAGCCCUAGUGACAAUAUAUUACAUAAGAGGUUUCAAGUGAUCAGUGUGAGAUUAUAGGUCAACAUUAAGGUAAAUCAACAAUAAGCUGAUAAAAGUUCCAAAGUAUGAGAUGAUAUUAGGCCAUCAUUCUUAAGAUGAACAGUAAUGAGGAAGAACUAAAGGACUUAGAUUUAUACAUAUAGGAUAAGCAACGGGAGAGUAACCUGGAGUUGGGUAGCAGACCUUGGCCAUAAUAAAUCAAAGUGAGUGUUAUGGUAUAGUAUAAGAUACCUAUACAUAGUAAAGACAUAAGUAUAGCUAACCGAGGCUAUGAAACAAGAUAUAGCAAUAGUCGUAAGUUUGACAGUACCCGAGCGAAAAACUUCAGUACACAUAUAGAAUCCUAGAGGGACAUCUUGUCAUAGUUAUGCAUAUGUUUACAGAGUUAGGCCUAGAGAUUGGCUAAAAUCUGAAGGAGAAAGGAGAUAAGAGUCACAUAGGCGCACAUAUAAGGACAAAGUCAUACAGGCUGCAUGACAUAAGAUAGCAACAGUUAAGACAUUGGAAGAAUUCUGACCACAAGUCUUGGUGUGACAAAGAGGCCUAAAGUGGGAAUGCCUUGGCAUUUGGGUUUAUUCACAAAUCAGUUGCCUAGAUGGAAAGGGACGCAGCAGAGUAUUUGCUAGAACUAUAGGUUAUGAGACUGAUAAAUGCAUCAUUCAACAUUCGAGGACGAAUGUUCCAAAGGGGGGAAUGAUGUUACAACCCGUAUCAUCGUACGAAAGAGUAUUCAUAAGUCAAUUAAUGUAAGUUCAGAAAUAAGAUCAUCUCUGAGAGUACAUAAAGUAAGUUAAUAAUGUUACCUUGUGGGUUACAAAUUUUAAGAUCAUUGAUAACAAGUACCGAGAGGGUUGAAAGGCUUAGAAGCUAAAAAUAUUGAUGAAAAAUAAGUUUCGUCGAAAGUCGAUAAGUUUGGAAUGUUAUAAAAUGCACUUCGGGGUAAGGCUAGGAUUAUUAACUUGAUAAUGAGGAUAUGUAAUGAGUUAUAUUAGGCUUAUGAUAGCCGUAUGUUACGUUUUGAAGUCAAUUCAAUUGUGGAAAAAAAGUUGGCAAAGGUCAUCACAAGUUACAUUCAUAAAUGUGCUGAAAAUUAGUCCAAAUGUAUAAGAGUUUUUCUCCCAAUAUACUUGGAAUUACGGGAUGAUACAUAUAUAAAGUUUAAGAUCUAUGAGUCUAGUUUCUAACUCAUUAAACUAUUCAUCGAUACAACAUUUAAGUGAGAGAUAUUUGCAGUUUUGCAAGACUGCGCAGACCGCAUAGGUGACAAGUAGGCGGGUCAAUGAAGCUAUUUUAGCAAUACAUUUCAUGUGUUAUAUGAGAUAUUUUUGGUACAUAUUAUAUACCAAAUUGAAGGUCUUGAAAUUUAGUUUCUAAUGCUCUUAACCAUUUAUUCAUAUGGAAUUUUAAUAAAAAGAAAUAAGCAUCGGAAGAAGAGCCAAUAAUAGGGUGCCAAGCUAGUACCUUUUUGACUUUUCAAUAAUGGAUAUAUAUAGGCUUUAUGUAAUUUCAUUCUUCACUUUUCCACAUACCACGACCAGAAUAAUACCCCUAAACGUAUCCUCAAUCUCUCUACAAGGGUUUUCAAGAAUAUUAACAUCUUGUGUACAAAAUCAAGAAGCGAUAACCCUAGAACGAUCCUUACGACGCAAGUAUCGCUAUAUCGCCUCUCUUUUUCUUUGUAAUUGAGUUUUGGAAGGUACUUAAUAGUUAAGAAAAUUUCAAAUUUCUGUAUUUAAGCUUUAAAUAUCAAGGAAGGUUGAUAAAUUUUGUUUCCUAAUAGUUAGAACUCACGGGACGAUGAUCGGAAGCUGUGAGUUUUAGUUAUUCGACUUGUGGUGGACUGUUUUGUGGGCCGUUUUAUGUUGCUUUUGGGCUGUCUAGUUUUCUAUAUUUUAAUGGCAUUUUUUAGGAUAAAUUAUAUGGAUAAACACCACAUAAUGGCAAAAUAGUGGGUUAAUCGUUCUUUGUAACAUUUUCGGGGUGUUUGACACUACUAUAGUUGUCGUUCUGGGGAUGAAGUGAUUGGAGUGUGUUGUGCUAUCAUAAGAUAAAUAUAAUAUAGAUUUCUACUUGCAUCCAUUGUAGUAGGUACUUAUAUUGUGUUCUUAAGGUUAUCUUGACAUUGCUUAAGUUAAAUAGAUGGGCUAGACAUGAACUAGUGAAUAAUGUUGCUUUAGGAUAAUUGGAGUAGUAGAUUAUUUUAUUUGUUAUAAAUAUAUGAUAUAAGGCUGGAAUCAUUGAUGAAUGAAUUCAUUAUAAUAUUAAUGAUACUAUUGAUUUAAAGUAAGAAGUCUAUGAGGGGUGAUAUGGGGUAUACGAAUUCCAAUUGGAUCUUGCCACUCGUCGUGAAGUAGUUGUUACUUGUUGUUGCUUAUUAGUGUCUUGUUAUUGAUAAUUUUGUAGCGCUUGGUCUCUAUGGUCAUUGUUUUUGGUAUAUGGUAUUGGAGGAGGCUCUUGUUACAGGGGAGAUGCUGCCCAAAUUUACAUAAACAAUCUACUAGUUUAAAUUGCGGACUUCUCCUAUACUCAACACUGAUUUUGAAUCUCCUUAUGCUAUGGUAGAUUGAAUUCAGUUGUUUGAAGAAUUUUUUGAAAGGAAUUAAGAACUCAAUGAAGUUAAGGUAUGUUAAGGAUAAAUGUUUCCUUCAUUCUGGCAUGAUCUAGUAACUACAUAUGUCUGAUAACAAAACAUAAAGAGAAGUUCAUAUUCCUGAAUUUAUGUACGUUUGUCCUAGUCUAAUAAGUUACAGCAGUCUCCCAUAUCAGGACUUCAUAUUAAAUUUAGUAUUUUCUUCUUUCAGCCAAUAGAGCAGAGAGUCUACAUAUAUAAAAUAUUAUAAUUUUUCACCACCACCGAGUUAUAAUCGAUGGACAUGCCCAUAUUGGGCAACCACAGAUCAGAUGGAAAGUUAUUUAUCGAGCCUAAUGUGGCCGAGCACCUAUGAACAAGCCCAGAAUGGCCGAGAUACAGAGCCUAGUAUGGCAUAGUGCCUAUGAGCGAGCCUACUACGGUAAAGCAGUAACACAUACCAAGCCUUAUUAGGAUGGAAAACUAUUUUACUUAUUAUAUUGAGAGGGUUGAGUCAAUAUCAGUAGGUAAGCAUAUCUUUAGAUUAUCUUUGACUCCUAGUUACUUUCAGUUAGUAUAUUAUCAGUUAAGUUUCAGCUUUCAGUUAUUCUGUUGCUUUACAUACUCGGUACAUUAUUUCUUACUGACGUCACUUUUGCCGGAAACGCUACAUUUCAUGCUUGCAGGUCCUGAUUGACAGUUGGACAGACCCUCAUAGCAAAUAGAGUCAAACAUCAGCUUGGUUGGUAAGCUCCCCUUCCUUGGAGUUGGCAGGUCUAGACCUUGGAGUCCAUUUUAUGUAUACAUGUUUGAUGGUAGGUGGAGGCCCUACCCGACCAUGAUACACUUCAGCUAUCUCUAGAGGCUUGUAGACAAGUCCUGUAUAGUUUGUAUAUCAGUAGAUGUUCAUGUCAAUCUAGUCAGCCUGCACAGUUAUAUAUAUAUAUAUAUAUAUAUAUAUAUAUAUAUAUANNNNNNNNNNNNNNNNNNNNNNNNNNNNNNNNNNNNNNNNNNNNNNNNNNNNNNNNNNNNNNNNNNNNNNNNNNNNNNNNNNNNNNNNNNNNNNNNNNNNNNNNNNNNNNNNNNNNNNNNNNNNNNNNNNNNNNNNNNNNNNNNNNNNNNNNNNNNNNNNNNNNNNNNNNNNNNNNNNNNNNNNNNNNNNNNNNNNNNNNNNNNNNNNNNNNNNNNNNNNNNNNNNNNNNNNNNNNNNNNNNNNNNNNNNNNNNNNNNNNNNNNNNNNNNNNNNNNNNNNNNNNNNNNNNNNNNNNNNNNNNNNNNNNNNNNNNNNNNNNNNNNNNNNNNNNNNNNNNNNNNNNNNNNNNNNNNNNNNNNNNNNNNNNNNNNNNNNNNNNNNNNNNNNNNNNNNNNNNNNNNNNNNNNNNNNNNNNNNNNNNNNNNNNNNNNNNNNNNNNNNNNNNNNNNNNNNNNNNNNNNNNNNNNNNNNNNNNNNNNNNNNNNNNNNNNNNNNNNNNNNNNNNNNNNNNNNNNNNNNNNNNNNNNNNNNNNNNNNNNNNNNNNNNNNNNNNNNNNNNNNNNNNNNNNNNNNNNNNNNNNNNNNNNNNNNNNNNNNNNNNNNNNNNNNNNNNNNNNNNNNNNNNNNNNNNNNNNNNNNNNNNNNNNNNNNNNNNNNNNNNNNNNNNNNNNNNNNNNNNNNNNNNNNNNNNNNNNNNNNNNNNNNNNNNNNNNNNNNNNNNNNNNNNNUAUAUAUAUAUAUAUAUAUAUAUAUAUAUAUAUAUAUAUGAGCUUUUGGGUAUAUUUACCCCUCAAAUGAGAGAGACGAUAUUUUCAGAUGAUUCAGAAUAUGGCCUUAUCAGCCUAAGUUGAGGGUUACCCCUCUAGAGUUCACAGUUGCAGAGUGUUACAUUCGAGCUGAGUAUGGCACCGUGUGCCAGCCAUGCCUUUUCAGGUUUGAGGUGUGACAAAAUUGGCCCAAAUAAUGUCGGAUUCUAUGCCCAUGCACUUUGAAGAUUCUAAGUCCAUCCCUAGAUUCUUAAUCCACGACACCAAAAGAGUAAACAUGCAUAAUCUUGAAUGGCCCCGACCAUUUUGAUUCAACUUAUUUGGGAACAACUUAAAACUUGAAUUGUGGAGAAUAACCAAGAGCUCAGGGUGAAAUUCCCUUUUGUUGAUCUUCUUGCCAUGGAGGAAUUUCAUUCUUUACUUAUACAAAAAAUCACUCUCAUAUACCUGAAACUGAAAUUCAUCCAUUGCAUUGACUUGAGACACUCUUAAGUUUGGUGGAUCAACCCAAUUUGACUUGAACUUUAAUGGCUUGAUGGUAGAAGGUUUGGUUGGAGUAAUAACUCGAUUAUCCAAGUGAAGGGACAACUUCUUGGGCUUGUAAGAAUAUGAAUCGUCCUUAGUCAUCAUGGAUUUGUUGUGACCUUCCAUGGCCUCAUUGUUCGAAAUAAAGACCACCGCUUGUAGAGCUUAUUCAAUGUAAAUAUCUUCCAUGUCAUCGUCUACCACAUCGUCCACCACAUCAACUACGUACAUCACACCAUAGUCAUGUGGUUGUUUUAUUGACUUUUGUAUAUUAAAAAUUGCCUCUUCAUCCUUCAAUCUAAAUUUAAGCUCUCCCACUUCAGCAUCACAAAUAGCUCGCCCGGUAGCCAAGAAAGACCUGCCAAGGAUGAUUGAAAUUUCUACAUCCACUUCACAAUCCAAUAUUAAAAAUUCAGCGGGGAAAUAGAAAUGAUCCAUUUUGACAAUGACAUCAUCGAUGACACCCAAUGGUUUCUUCAACAUUCGAUCCGCCAUUAACAACUUUAUUGUGAUAGGUUUAGGAGCCCCCAAACCUAACCUUUUGAAUAUGACAUAUGACAUCAAAUUGAUACUAGCCCCCAAAUCACACAAAGCUUUUGUGAAGCUUGUCAACCCAAUAGCACAAGGUAUAGUAUAAGCCCCCGGGUUUUCCAUCUUUUUAACCCCGGUUUGUGACCUUGAUGGUCUCAAAAUUAUCAUUCUUCUUCUUAGUGAUCAAGUCCUUCAUGAAUUUUGCAUAACUCAACAUCUUUUCAAGAGCUUCUAAAAAAGGAACAUUAAUGGUAAUUUUAUUCAAAAUAUAAUAGAACUUUUGUAUUUGACCUUAUUGUUGUUGCUUUGCAAAUCAAUAUGAAAAUGGAGGAGGCGGUCUCGGUAAUUUCUUGUACACUCUAGGUACUUCCUUGCUUUCAUUAUUGAUUGGUUCUUUCUCCUUUUGAGGGACCUCUUUUGAAUUUUGAUAAAUUCUUGGUACUUGGUGGACCUUUUCAACAACAAUUGGACUUACUAUUGGCACCUCGUACUUGGGAACUUCAAUCACCUCGGGUGUCUCAUUGACCAAAAGAGGUACAUCUUGAUUAGGAACUUCAUACAUUUUAGGAGGAUCAUCAACCUUGGGAAUAGAAAACUUAAGAACUUUGGGACUCUUGACCUUAGAAAAAGUAUAUUUGAGAGGCAACUCCUCUUCAUUAUCAUCAUCCUCUACUACAAUGGAUCUCUUCUAUAGAAUUUUGCUCUGCCUCGUGGAAAUGGCAAACCCACAUUUUAUUCCCUCAUCUCUUUUUGGAUGAAUUGUAUUACUAGGCAAUGAUCAUUGUGGUCUCACUUUCAAUUGAGAAGAUAUUUGACCCAAUUGAGUCUAAAUUUGCUUGAUUGAAGUGGUAUGAGCAACCACCACUUGAUUCAUUUCUCGCCUCUCUUUUUCAGAUUGCUAUUGAUUCUUGAUCAUUCUUUCCAUCAUUCCUAAAAGCUAGUUUUCACUUGAAGAGUCACCUAGGUUGUUGUAUAUAGGAGGUUGGUAGGAUAUUUAUUGAUAUUGUUGGGAAGAUCCACCACCUCGAUUACCUUGAUUACCGCCACUCCAACCUUGGUUUCCUUGAUUGUUGUCCUCCCAAUUUACUUGAUUGUUAUUGUCCCAAUUUCCUUGGUUAUUAAUCGGCCUCCAUUGUCCUUGGAUAGAUCCUUGAAAGUUACCUCGUUGAUUUUUAUAGUUGCUCACAAAUUGAACUUCCUUAUUUUGCUAUUGAAAAGAAUCAUCUUGAGUGUAACGUCCAUCAUCUUGUGAAUACAUCUCUGGUUGACGUUGAUUACCCUUCAUCUUUUUCUUAGAACCCAAGACAUGAACACCUUCUACGACAUGUACUUGCCGAGUUGCUUGACUUUAUUGAAGUUGCACUUUUGCAAGUUGAUUCAUAGUGGUGGUCAACUCGGCAAUGGCUUAACCAUGAUCUUGCAACUCCUUGUUUAAGAAUUAUAUUCGGAUCCCCUUGAGGCACAUUUGCUCGGGAGUGCCAAGCUAAGAUUUCUCUACCAUCUUAUCAAGCAUGGCACAAGCCUCCAGGUAAGGCGUGGUCAUGAAGUUUCCACCGGCAAGUUGGUUCACUACAUAUUAAUUGGUUGUUUUAAUCCCACGAUAGAAGGUUUGUUGCAACAUGUUCUCGAUCAUAUCAUUUUUAGGACAUUCCUUAACCAUGGUUCUAUAGAGUUCCCAAUUUUCGUGUAGUAGCUCAUUCAGUUCUUGCUUGAAUGCCAAGAUUUCAUCCCUCAAACUAGCUGUGAGCCCAAAUGAGAAGAAUUUGGCAAUAAACUUCUCUACUAACUCAUCCCAAGUAUGUAUAGAAUGGUUUGAUAAGCGCUCCAACCAAUCCAAGGCUUUUCCUCCUAGUGAGAAAGGAAAUAACCUUAAUUUCAAAGCGUCCUCAGACAUAUUUUAAGUGCUUGUAUGCAUUUUGAUGAGGUGCUCCGGUGAAGUAGUCUCUUUGCUCAAGCAAGGUGAGCAUGACAUUUAUAAUUUGAAAAUUUUCUACCCUAAUGCAAGGGGGGAUUAUUGUACUUGCAUAUCCAUCAUUUAGUGCGGCAUGUUGUUGAACCGGUUGGCCAUGUAGAUGUGGUGGUGGUGGAGGCAACAGAGGUUGGUGUUGGUUAUUUCCUCGACCACGUCGGUUUCCUUAAAUCGGAGCUGCUUCUUCUUCUACCAUAUCUUUAUCAAUGGCCCCAAGAGGCAAAUCACCAAUGUCAUUGUUUUUCGCCAUUGGUAACCUACAACAAGCACACACAAAACAAAGUAUAACGAAGAAAAAAUAAGAACUAAAGAAAACACACAAUAACAAUGUAACACAAGAACAUUGUACUCCCGGCAGCGGCGCCAAAACUUGGUGACGUAUAAUCCUACUAUUUAUAUGAAGGUAGCAUGGUUGUUAGCAAUAAUAAACCCAACAAAGGUUGGGGUCGAAUCCCACAAGGAGUAUGUGUGUGUUUGAGUGUCCAAAUUUGCGCAAACUCGAUGAUUCUUAAUGUAAUCAUCAAACAAUGCGUGGUUAUACAAUUAUUUCUACAAUUACUACUAAAGUUUAACUAAGGUAUUUUAUCAAACACGUAGAGUGAAAAUAAAACUUAGUUGUAACAAAUAAGAGAAAGGUGCUAAGAUUGCUUCCCCUUUGUGUAGGCUAUGCUUUUCGGUAUACAAAUAUUCAAUUCUAGUUAAUAAAGCAUAUGUUAUGACCUCACUUUCUAUUCUACCAACUUAAUGUCUUCUAACAAUUAAGAGGUUUCUACCCCAAUUUGCUCUUCCAAGACGACUAAGGAAUGAUGAUAAGAAAUUGAUUAGCCCAAGUAGAAAUCACACUAUUCCUGUCACGACGCUAAAUUCGGACUCGGUCGUGAUGACGCCUCUCGUGAAGACAAGGCCAACGGACACAACUUCCAAUUCAUUUUAUCAAUUUUAAUAACACAAUUUAAGUCAUUAACAUGCUAAUAAUCCCAAAAUAAAAGUGAAAUAGUACAAUUUACGGAAAAACCAACGUAGCCCGACAUCGGGGUGUCACCAGCCUAGAACAUCUAAACAUGUGUCUAAAAGUCUGAAAGAGUUAUACAGUCUAUUACAGAAUUAGAAACAGAAGGUAAGAUAGGAGGGAGAAACACUGGGCUGCGAACACCGAGCAUCUACCUAGUUGUUUACCGUGAAAAUGGUAAUGACAAUUAAAUUUGUAAAUGGGACUCUAAAAAUAGGUGAUCCAUUUUUAUGCUAGUUGUUAGAGUAGUUGAUGCUAGGCAUACAUAGAUGAGAGAUGAAAUGCGAGCUAACAAUAGAGUUAUAAUCAAACCGAGAGAUCAGUUAUUUUGGGAUUGAACUGGCUGAUGGGGGGCCUCGAGGUUGAUGCCUGGGCUCGAGAUCGAGCUAUUGGGGAAAAAGGAAGGGAAUAACAAUUAGGAUAUAAUUAGGGAAGGCUCUUUAUGGUCAAUAUCAAGCAAUAAAUGAAUAACAAGUAUGAAAGCAAUAAAUGAAAAGUAGUCUCGUGCGUGCCAGUUAGAGAGAAAAAAGAGAGAGAGUUUUUAUUGAUAUUAUGUAGAAUAGUUGGAGUCACUUACUUAAAGAGUGUCAAUGAUUCCCCUUUUUAUAAGAGGGGGGAAUCCAAACUUAGUACAAGAUACGUUGAGCGGUAGAGGAAGCAGGAUGGGACAGCUAAUUACCUUCAUGACGUAUACGUAGACCAAUGUUAGGUUUCUCAGGUAGACUUAAUCAGCUCCGGAUGAAUUCUUCGGAAGCCUUCCAUGGUCGUCGGGGUCUCAGACAACAUUAUCCCCAGGCCGGGUAUCGACAGAUCUUGAGGGAAGUACCCGGCUCGAGGUCUCGAGCCUCCGAUGCGACCUCCUAAAGCAUUUUGUCAAUGGGAAAUUGGUCCCCCUCCCCGAUUUUACCGUACAUACUAGUGGACUCUGAAUAGCCUGCUAAGAUCAAUCAACCCUCACUGGCGGGACAUGAAGCUCCUGAAUUUGCACACAAGGUGCAGGGAGUAUAGUGAGUACUCCAACUCAGUGAGUAAUAAUAAUAAAUGAAGACUGAGCGAUAAGAAAUCACGUAAAACACAACAACAUGUUAUAAAGAGGUAGUGUAAAACCAAAUAAUACAAUAAAACAGUAAAAUCUUGUAAAAACACCUUAGUUCAGUAUAAGCUUCUUUAAAAUAUCUUUUUAACAAUUAAGCAAAUAAAUGAGAAGUAGCUAGAAAGAUAAACACAUAAAAUUCGCCCCUCGGGCACAAUAUCAACAGAAUCAGCCCCUUGGCCAAUAACAUGGAACCACACCAGCCCCUCAGGCUAUAUCACAUAUCACACGGAGUACACGCGCUCACUGGGGGUGUACAGACUCCGGGAGGGGCCCCUUACGGCCCAAGCGCAAUAUCAAGCCAUAUCAUGGCAUAAUCAAAUAGGCUCUUGGCCUCAUAUCAACCCACCUCAUGGCGUACAAUUAGGGAAGGCUCUUUAUGGUCAAUAUCAAGUAAUAAAUGAAGAACAAGUAUGAAAGCAAUAAAUGAAAGGUAGUCUAGUGCAUGCGAGUUAGAGAGAAAAGAGAGAGAGAGAGAGAGAGAGAGAGAGUUGUUAUUGAUAUUAUGUAGAAUAGUUGGAGUCACUUGCUUACAGAGUAUCAAUGAUUCCCCUUUUAUAAGAGGGGGAAAUCUAAACUUAGUACAAGAUAUGUUGAGCGGUAGAGGAAGCAGGAUGGGAUAGCUAAUUAGCUUCGUGACGUAUACAUAGACCAAUGUUAGGCUGCCCAGGUAGACUUAAUCGGCUCUGAAUGCAUUCUUCGGAAGCCUCCCAUGCUCGUCGGGGUCUCCGCCAACAUUAUCCCCAGGCCGGGUGUCGACAAAUCUUGAGGGAAGUACCCAGCUCGAGGUCUCGAGCCUUCGUGGUGACCUCCUGAAGCAUUUUCUCAAUGGGAAAUUGGUCCCCCCCUAUUUCACCGUAUACCGAUAGUCUCCGCGUUUCUUAGAGAGAAAUGAUAAGAAAUGAUUUUGACAUCCCACUCUAUGGGCUACCAUAAUGACGUUGUGCUGAUGACGUAACCCUUCAUGAGUGCCAAAACGUUUCACCGUUUUGCUUUUUCAGGGCUAUUCGACGUGUUGUGAUUUCUUGUUAUUCAGGGUCAUAAUGUUGCCAUUGAUUCAGCUCCUAUAAAUGUAUUGAAUGCACCUGUUGUUACAUUUUUUGAGGGCGAUAAUGGCACCAUCGGUUACUUUGCCCUUUUCCACUAUAAAUGGGGCUUCCUGUGACAAGUUUUUCAUCCAAGCAUCCUCUGAUAUCUAUCCUUUCCUCCUUUCUUGCUAUCUUUAUUCUUUGCUAUUUCACUAUGUUUGAGGCCCAUGGCCUCAAUAUUUUACGGCGACAUUAUGCGCGCUACGGCCUAUCUUCCGCACCUUCUCUGGUCGGACGAAGUUAUGCUGCCUUGAUGUUAUUAUUGUUGUUGUUGUUGUUAUUGUUGUUCUCUUCGUUAGCUCAGGGUGAUGAAGCAGAGGACCAAUUUCCUCUGACCCGAGGAAGUAUUUGGAUUAUACACGCUGCUCAAGAGGGGGAUCGGAUUAUACACCGCUGCUCACCCUUCUUCCUCGACUUGGCGUAUUACACCCCCUUUGGAUUCCUUGGGGUAUGACGUCACUUUAUACUGGCUGUCGCCUCCCAGGCCGAGGAAAACGUCUCAAGAAGUGUCUUUAUGAUGGUAAUUCUUGUUGAGUUCAUACUAGCUAGAUUUUUCACCCAGCCACUUCUUGUCUCCUAUCGGCUUCUCCUUUGUCACUUUGCUCUUGCCCAUCGCUUUCUUCUUUUAUAUCCUCCCUGUUGAAGAUGCCAUUCCGGGAGGAUCGAGAUGAGACUCCCGAGGGGAUUGGGCUUGGAAGAUAUUGUCUUUGAGGUCGCGCGCCCGAGGAGAUGAUACCGAUGGUAUCGGUAUUGAGGACGCACCUUUGGGAAUAUGCUAGAUUUCUUAGGCUUUUGUUGUAUGUACACCCUUCCGCCUCUUUGUUACUGUGUAAGGAACCCCUUGCGGGCUUUUGUAACCAUAUGUAAGGGCCCCUCAAGGGACGUUGUAAGCAAAUGUUUAUGAAUAUAAAGAUAUUUUCUUGAUUCCUACUUCUGAUGCUUGCCGUAUUUCUUUAUGCUUGCGGAGACCCCAAAUGCACGAUCCUGUUUUAUGUUGCUAAGACUGAACCCGGAUGAGCGUAUUCCUUCCGACCUUUGGUUGAUGAAAAUGGCUUAAUGUGUGGUCUUUUGUGAUUCCUUGGAUUUUUCCUGAAUAAGGAUGAUAAACUCGGGCCACCGGGACCCUGGCUUCGCGCGAAGAUGAGAAUAAUGUUCUGGGGCUCAAAGUCGUGACAUAACAGUUGAGUUCCAUAAUAACCUUUGAGAAGAAAUUCGCUCGGGGAUCUGUGUGGGGGGGCUGCAUUUGAUCUCUUGAAAACAGUCUCCGAGAGAAGACUUGCUCGCACUCGGACCACCCGAGAGCGCAUUCAAGUGUAAAUAGCCUUAUGGUGCUAUAGAUAGAUUCUGGAAAACGGUUUGUCCAACCCUGGAUGGCACCCAGAACCAAGUUCACAUUGGCAACGUUCAAAAAGUGCUCAUUUCCCCAGGCCCUGAUUCCCUUCGAUGGAGAUCCUCGAAGUCGGGUGUCAUCCUUGUGUUGGAGAAGGCGUUGCCGGCUCCUUGGAGUGUAACCUUACCUUGAUGGAGGUCUUCAAGGUUGGGUACCACCUCGGGACUGGAGAGGAAGUUAUCGGCUAGCGUUCCCGGUCGGUUUUGAGGUAGGCGAAUCGUCACUGCCUUUCCCACAUAUAAUAUGAGGCAGUUUUCGCCUUCUCAGGGGUCACCCCAUUUUAAGCAGUUGCCAUUUUCUUUCUGCGCCAUAUUUUUAGUAUUCCGGCAUUAACACGCCUGCACAUCUUUUUGCCUUUUUGUUCUUCAACUUUGCGACUGUUAUGGCGGCUAUGUUGGUGUUUACCCGACAAGGGGGGAGAGCUCCGCCCCCGGUCUUCGAGACUAUCAGGGUCUAUUGACUCCACGGUGUCAAUGGUUUACACCCUUCAUUGCUAUCGUUGAGGAUGACAGAGACUGGAUAUGGGCAAGCCGCUUCGCCCGGGUUUUGACUGCUGGCAUUAUACCUUAGGAGCCCGUAUUAUUUAUUGGAGAAUGGAGCUAUACUCUUAGGUGAUGCACCCCGUGCUUCAUCAGUUCUACCUGUCACACCUCCUUUUUUCCUACACCCCGUAAAGGGUAUAAGGGAGUUUUUCCAAUUAAAGGACAAUUGAAACGGGAUUACUUACAUUAAAUUCAGAGUCACCACUUGGGAUAAUUUAUGGUGUCCCAAGUCACCGGUUAGAAUCCCGAAUCGAGGAAAAUAUUGACUCUGUAUUACAGUCCGCGAGCCAGAAAUCCAGGUAAUGAAUUUUGUUAAACCAAGAGAAGGUGUUAGGCACUCCCGAAUUCCAUGGAACUAGCACGGUCGCUUAACAAUUUAUACUUGGCUUAAAUUAUUUAAUUACAUGUUUAGAAACUACAUGCAUUUUACCUUUACCGCUUUUAACUACGUGAUGUGCUCGUACUUAAAGAAUUAUCGAGUUAUGCAUAUGUAUAGUCGUGUGGUUUGGCGUGUCAAGAGUCAUGUCAAGCGUACGUGUACACAAUUCACAACACUUAGUUUAUUUAAAAAAAAACUAAGUCAAAGUCGCGCGGACGCGUACCUUAAUUUAUUUUGAAAAUCGUAAUUAUGUCACGCGAACAUGUACACAAUCACGAUGAUUGAUUUAUUAAGAUCAUAUCUAAAAGCAUACUAUCGAUUUGGUUCUGGUGUAAAUAUGUGAAUGCAAAAUUUUCAUGGAUCAACAGUGAGCCUUCCUCAUUCUCACAUUUUAGGAUUAAAACUUCAAAAAAUUAAAUACUUGCAGUCUUAAGAACUAUGUUAACAGAAAACAAAAAUAUUACCACCAAAAGCGACAAAUUUUGCUAACAUAGAAAACUGAGCAAAACGAAAAAUGAAACUUUAUAGUAUUUUGAUAUUAAAACAAAACUUCAAACAAGCUACCUAGAGCACUUUAUGAAUUAUAUAUCUUAAGAACAUAAUCUUUCUUCUCCCUCUUUUUUUAAAAAAUAAAACAUUCCUACCAAAUUAACACUUAUAAAUUUCCAACUUUCAUGGCUAGGUAGUUAAAAAUUAUAAAUGUUUAAUCAGAGAAGAAAAACUUUUCUUUAUGUAAAAGAAACUUGCUACAAUCUUAUAAAGAAAGUUUAUUAUAGUUUAUAGCCUAUUCACAAGAAUGAUUAGAAAAAGUUAACCUAUUUGUGACUUAAGGAUACUAUAGCACUAUUUUUGUCCAUAAUUAACAACUCUUUAUUACUGUUUUAAAAUUUUGGCCGUAAUUGCGCGAACACAUACUCCGGUUUAUUUUUAGAAAUCUUGAUUGUAUUACGCGGACGUAUACACAAUCACAAUUGUGUUUUUAAACGGCCUUAAAGGCUUUUCUACGAAUAUUAAUCAUUUUUAUAUCUAGGUUAUGAAACUAAUGCGGGGGCCAUGCAAUUUGUCACUUUCUAUUAUCUAUAUAGUCCACCUCCACUAUUUGAAAGAAAUUAGUUGUCUACACGUUAAGGGAUUGGGCUUUUACUCAUGGUAUACUGCUUGUUCAAGUAAAAAGGAGCAGCCCACGUUGGAUUGCUGAAACUACCAAAUAAAUAAAGCCCCAUUAACUAACAUUGAUGCGGGCCUGGUAUAUGAGUCGUUGGGCUCCAAGUGAGACCAAUAUCAAAAUCUUAGAGAUAUCAUGGACCAUUCCCUAUUUCGAACUUGUCCUAGUGGUUAAAGGCCCACAAUACUGAAACUCAGAUUCGACUUUCAAGGCUUGGGCCAACAACAAGCCCAACUGCAAAUUGAUGACUCAUGAAGCUCAAACAUACUAACUCUAACAUUAACUUUAACUUCUACUAAAUAAUUUGAGAAACUUACAAAAUGAACAUAAUUAAUGUCUCUAUUAUAUAGAUGGCUAAACUAACAUUUAUACCCUAACACCAAUUAACACCAGAAUAUUGAUGAUAAAGCUUUCGACAUCUUAAUUUAAGAUAAAGAAUUCAAAGGCUUCCUAUUAAACUGACCAAAACUCCAUAUGAGCUAACAAUAUAUACGAAAUAGGAUAGUAAAUACUAACAUAUCCUCAACUUGAAACAGUAAAGCGUCAAUCCAAACCAGCAGAGUGAUAUUAUGACUUAAACAUAAUAGAAAUGAAUACAUGCUCCUCUCAACAGUAAUGAAUACAAAGGUUGACUUACACAUUGAUCAACAAAUGAACUAGCUAUUCAGCCUUGCAAACACAUAUAACUUCCAGAUCUUAACCAGCAUUUAUCAUAACCUUUCACAAAUAUUUAGCAACCAGCAUAAUGAAUUACAAAUUGUUACUAACACAUCAUUCCUUAUUCAAAAUAGAACUGUAGGAGACAUAGGAAAAUUAAAUUGAAUCAGAUGACUUUUAAAAAUGCAGAAACAUCAAGCAUACGAUUAUAUUAUUACAAACAUCAACUUGAGUACUCCAAACUUCAUGUCCAUCUCCUUUUCACACAUUAGAAGGUGAGAUGAAAUACCUGGAAAUGAGAGUAAAGAGGGGUAAGGUGCAGCAGUAGCAUCAACAGGACUCAGCAGUAAAAAUAAACCAAAGGAAACCAGUUUUUCUUUUAGCCAAAUUCAGCCCAGUAGAAGGAUCAACUGAUACUUAAUAAUCAAAAACAGUCAGAACUUGAACCAAAUACUUGAAAAUCAGCACAUUAAAAUCAUUUCAACCUAUGAUUAUUCAGGAACUGUUUCACAAAUGAAAAGCCUCAAAAUCUCGGAAAUUUUAAUGGAACAGUUAGUAUAUAUUUUUUUAGUAUUUCAGAAUCUCUCCUCUCUCUCUCUCUUUUGUAUCCAUUUUCUAUCUCCUCCUUCUUAUUUUCAGCUCCCUUAAAUGGGCAUUCAAUUAGUGCAUUUUCCACUACAACUUAUCUUCUCCAUUUUAAAUUAUCCACUCAAAUUAGUGGUUUUAGUUAAUUCAAUAAUGCAAAUACUACCCUACCACUAUUAGAAGCUUCUCAAUUAGUGACCACUUGCAUAAAACUUAUAAUAGUCAAUUCUUAUUAAUACAAUGUUAAACAAGAAAUUAUACCAAAUUACUGAACUAAUCCUAAUUAUUCUGACUAAGUGAUUAAACGAGAUACGAUUUCAAAGUUUUCUAAUAUCCCAAUUAUACGAAACAAAUCUACGAAACCAAUCUUAAAGAAACAAACAGUGAACAGAAUAAUCUAUACCAGAGUACUGAUCGAAUUUCAAUUGAAAUUGACCAAGAAAAGAAAAAGAGACGAGGAAGACGAAUAUCAGAAUAACACUAUUGUAAAUAAACAAAGACUAAGAAAGAACUCACCGGACAUGCUCGAACUUAGAUUUGGCUUUGAUACUCUAACUCAUCCCAAACUAAUGCUAAUCAUUUGUUUUUUAUCAAGAACAAAUGAACAACAUCGGUUUUGUAGUGAAUCGAUCUUCUAAUAACAAAAACUAGAGGCUUGGAUCGAUGCAUGUCAUCAGGCUCAACGGAAACUGAUUUUGAACUUUUAAGGUUUGAACUUAGAUUUAAAAUUCGACGAGUUCCGGUCAGAUUCGAAGGAAACCAAUGAUGGAUUUGGUAUGAGGGAGGUAUGGGGGUUGUGUGGUGUUAAUUUGAGGUUGAUUGGGUAGGCUAGGGUUCUGGGAUUUUGGGAUCGGACAGCCUCGAUUGAAGAUUCGAAAAGUACUAGGGUGAUUCGAGGGAAACCGAUCGGGGAUUUGGAAAGAGGGGGUUGGGGUGGUUCUGGGGUGUGAUUUUGGAGGUUAACGGAGCCGGCGCCGCCACCGUAAGGCGUUGGGAAAUGGUAGCGGCUGGUCUGUAGAGUUUGGGUGAGGAAGAUGAGCGAUGAGCUGGGGGGGUUAUGAGGGGGGUGGGGUAUGUUUGGACAAAUAUAUAUUGGGGGUGAAAUUGGAUCCAGGCCGUUCGAUCAAACGAGAUCAAUGGCUUGGAUCAUCUGUCUAAUGGAGCGAUGUCGUUUGAGUGAAUUAGAGACCGGAUCGGUCUCAGAUGAAACGGGUCGGAUACAGGUGAUGGGGUGCGUUCUNNNNNNNNNNNNNNNNNNNNNNNNNGUCCUAAAUUAGCUUAAAAAUAUUAAUUAACUUUAAAUAAUACCUAUCACAAAUAAUUAAACACUAUAUUAAAAGAAAAUCACACAAUUUGACCAAAAUACUAAAAAUAUGUUAUUUUUUGUGAAUUUUCAUUUAUGUAAAACACCUAAUUAUUAAUUAAUUCUAAAAAUAUAAAAAUUAAAUCUUAAAUGCAAAUGCUAUAUUUUUUGUAUUUUUAAUUCAUUAAUAAAAUUAAACAUGCACACAAACAUAUGCAAAUAAUCAGGAAAAUCGCAUAAUAAUUCCUAAAAAUAACACAUUAUUAAAGAAAAGACCUAAUUUUGGGAAUUCUUUUGGAGUAAUUUGGAUGAGGCAAAAUAUCACGUGCUCACACUACAUAUGGCGAGAGCAUAUAGAGUAGUUGUGUCUUCCUCCCUUCUUCUAUAGUGGUUCUGCGGGCGUCGAGCGACGUUCUUGACUUUCCAGGCUUGGCCCGAGGAUUUUGGCGGCCCACUCAUCCUUCAAGGAGUGUGAGUGGUGAGUUUUUUCCCGGCACAGAAGCGAAGCAAAAUACCAUGGUGAGCAUUGAGCUUAUUCCUUUCUAGUUAUCACCUUACACUUCUUACUAAGUUUUCUUCUGUAGGCCUCUAACAAACUUGAGUUCGGACUGCUUCAUUGCAGAGCUAGGCUCGGGAAGGCCCUGGAUGAGAGUAUGUCCCUUAGGCUCCUUUGCAAGGAGAAGGAAGUCGAGUUGAUGUACUGGCGAUAUGGAGCAUAUCGAAGCUCGAAUUACGAGAGCUAUUUGAUGGGGCAGGUAACUUCUUGUGGUAUGUGCUUUGCUCUUUAACCUGUUGGGUUAACUUCUUGCCUAUCUUAGUUGCGGAAGAAGACAGAGGCUCUGGAGCACCUCAGGGGUAAAGCCGACCGAGUUAGGAACGACUAUGGCUAGCUAAGAGCUCAGGUUCAGGCUCAAGCUUCAAAGGAGAAGGGUGCCUUGGCUAAAGUUCCUGCCUUUGAAGUCCAACUCCACUUGGCUUGUGACAACGCUUCAGUUCAAGAGGAUAUGAUCAUGAAGUUCGAUUCCAGACUUUCGAAGGUUAGGGCCGAGAUCGUUGAUGCUCGAGCUGAAGAAGAAUUGAGCGGGACGAAGGCUGAUCAGGAGAUGGCGAUUCAUUUGAAGGACACUACUGAUGCCCAAGCCGAGUUGAAGAGGGCCCUCAAUCCUGAAGAGAGGAUUGAGGAAUAUGUUCGUUGCAGAUCCUGAAGCAAGUUACUUGAAGAGAUCGGUGCCAGGGGUUUUGUUCUCACGGAAGAUCUAGCUUGGGUGAGGGCGGACGAGCGCGAUCCUCGGUCACUUUUGGCCGACGCCGUGGAGAGUGAAGAAGAGGCUGGUGGGCCGUAGUCUUCUGGGGCGUAGACUUUGCCAUUUUGUAUGUGAUAUUCGUAGAGCUCAUUUGUAGAUGAAGAAUACACUUUUUUAUGUAUGUAAAUAAAAUAAAACCUGAAACUUUCUUUCCUGUGUAUCCCUUUCUGCUUGGCUUCUGCCUAGUGGGCUGGUUUUGGAGUUGGCGAGAAUCCUUAGAUUCGUAAUAUGGCUCCAGGGCUCAACAGGCAGUCCCGAAGGCUCUUUCAUGUUCGGUUGAUGCGGCCUUUAACGUAAGCUGGCUUUAGGGCUCUUACACUUUGCUCAACUAUUUUGGGUUCAGUCUCCGAGUCUGGUUUUGAUUCUAGCCUACUCGACCCUCAAGCUUUUGUAUCUUCAUGGGCGGACGAUAAUGGAUCCUAUGCCUUGCCCUUGGGCAUUUGUACUUUAACAAUUUUGGGUUCAGUCUCCGAGUUGGGUUGCGACUCGAGCUUAAUUGACCCUCAAUUUUUUUUUGUGAUGACGACAAUGGCUCUUACGCCUUGGGUCGAAGCGACCUUUUAGGUAUGUGGCCCUGAGGCUCGUGAAGCUGGCGAUGAUGGUUUUACGCUAUGCCCUUAUGCAUGUAGAGUUAACUAUUUUAGAUCCGGUCUCCGAAUCGGGUUACGACUCAAGCUCAUUUUAAUCCUCAAGUUUUCAAAUUUUAAGCUGGCGACAGUGGCUCUUAUGCUUUUGGUCGUUGUGACCUUGUGUGGCCCUGAGGCUCAUUUGGCUGGCGACAAUAGCUCUUACGCUUUUGAACUUAGGCAUAUAUAGGCUUUGUUUUCCUCACGUUAAGGACUUUUUGAGAUGAUUUUGCCUGACCCGUCGUCUAUUCGGGAAGAACCUCGAUUUCAAGUCGUUAGCGGCAAUGUUCGAGCACCUCAGAAGGUUUAGCUCAUACGCCAAGUGGCUCGAAGCCUUUGUAAUUUGGAGCUGACAUGGUCGAAGAUCGUUUGCCUGUUCGAGGGUAGCCUAUUUUAACCAGUUCUUUUGGAAGUAGAUUCGAAGUAAUGGCCUGUGAUUUUGUAGCGACGGUCGGGCAUCCCCGAGUCGCGUUAACUUGGCUGGUGCAGCCGUAUUGGCCGUAGUCAUUUGUGUUUGGCCGGAGCCAUUUUUGAUCCCGAGUGUGGUAGUUUAGGCAUUUACAUUGAGGGUAUGCCCUUUCGGGAGUCUUAUAAAUGCGACAUAUCGCCUAAACUUCGGGAUCGAGUUUUAUGCCUAUAGUAAGGUCUUACAAAAUUUUCAUGCCUGUUGAGGUCUUACAGUUUUUUCAUACCUGUAGAGGUCUUAUAGUUUUUUCAUGCCUGUUGAGGUUUUACAGUUUUUUCAUGCCUGUUGAGGUCUUAUAGUUUUUUCAUGCCUAUUGAGGUCUUACAGUUUUUCCAUGCCUGUUGAGGUCUUAUAGUUUUUUUCAUGCCAUUGAGGUCCUACAGAUUUUGUUGCUAUGUUGAAUAGACCUUGCUAGAUCGAGUUUGCCCACUCAGGGUCUUACGACCUCAGGUUUUUAAGUGAGUGGUGACUGGCGACAGUCUCCAAGUCAUCGAGUUUGCUUAGGCUCGAAGGCCGUUACUCACAAGUUCGGAGUUGCCUCAUUGAGGGCUUACGAGCAUGAGGUUCCAUCCCUUGAGGCCGUGCGUUUCUCUUUCGAGCUUUUGACGUUAGUCCCCGAGUACUCGAGGUACCUUCGAUGUUGGAGAUGCUUAGCGAUUUCUGCGUUGCCUUAGCUGAAGGCUUUAUGGUUUCAGAGUUUUGACCCGGAGGUCGUCUGAGUGUUGAAUUACCGAUGUUAGUCCCCGAGUAUUUGGGACGUUUUCGGCGGAGGAAUUGUUGCCUUAUAUUGCGAAGGUUUUUUUGACAAAAAAUAUUCUUUGAUUAUUUGGUAUAAUAAUACACGUAUUCGCUGAUGGGAUCCUGGCUAUAUGGACUCGGUUCAUUUGACCUUUUGGCCCUGUACAUUACUUUCCUACAAGGACCCCAUUUGGCGUUUCAUGACUUUUCUGAGCGGGUGGCUUCUUGGGGGAAUGCCCCCAAACAUUCAAAGUUGACUGCAAAAGACGUUUUGAGCAUUUGUUGAGUUUCCCUUAGGUAGCACGCAGAUGUUGCCUCGGUAAAAACCCUACCGGUAAAACCUUCUUUUGGGACAAAAACUCGGUCGAAGGAAAAGAGUGCAACAGGUGCUUUUUUGAAACUUAAGGUCUUCGGGCAGGGUUAGCAUUCUAACCGCUCCGAUCGAGUUCCUGCAUAAGGGUUAGUCCUAAAUUCGAAACAAAAAGGGAGAUGGUCGUACCUUGAAGUGAGAUAUGCCGGCGACGCCUAGGGGAUUGAUACGCUACAAUCGUGAGGGCUGAUUUGUUUUAAUUGCCCGAGGUGAGGACACGAUAUGGUCCUUUACUUCAUUUUGCCAAGUUCGAUCAAGGGUGAUGCCUGAUUUGUCCUUUGAUUUACUCGAGGGCGGAGGUACGAGAGUUGGUGCCACAUCGUGUAUUGCGAACAUUUCCCUUGCUGCAUGCUGUUCCUUGUAGAUGGUUUUAAUUCCGUCCUUUGUUGGAAAUUUCAUCAUUUGGUGAAGGGUGGGCGGUACCUCUCUCAUGCAAUGUAUCCACGGCCUCCCGAAUAAGGCAUUAUACUUUGUGUCUCCUUCGAUGACAUGGAAUUUGGCAUCUUGGGUCGUGUCGGCAACGGUGACCAGAAGGAUGAUUUUUCCUUUCGUUGUUUCACUUUCCAUGUUGAAUCCAUUGAGGACUCGAGUGGCAAGCACGAUUUGGUUGAGCAAUCCGAGCUGCUCUAUAACUCUCGACCUGACAAUAUUAGCCGAGCUACCUGGAUCCACGAGUAGACGUUUUAUUUGAAAAGAAUUUACAAGGAAGGAGAUUACCAGUGCGUCAUUGUGAGGUUGAGACAAGGUCUCGGUGUCUUCUUCGCUGAAUGUGAGGCCGUCCUUGGGAAUAUAUCCCCGGGUCCACUUUUCUCUGGUGAUGGAUAUUUUCUUUCUUCUCAUUACGUGUUCCUGCGGGGCAGCGGCAUCCCCCAUUAUCAUGUGAAUGACAUGUUGCGGCUCGUUCGCCUCGUUUUUCUUGGUUGCCUCCCUUUCCCGGAACUGAUUUUUGGCUUGAUCGCUAAGGAAUUCCCGGAGAUGUCCUUUGUUAAGAAGUCGAGCUACCUCUUCUCGUAGCUGAUGACAAUCCUCGGUUUUGUGGCCUUGCGUGUGGUGAAAUCUGCAUACCAAGUUGUAAUUCCUUUGCGAAGGAUCCGACUGUAUAGGUUUGGGCCACUUGGCGUCUCUGAUUUUACUGAUGGCGAACACAAUAUCCGACACAUCGACGUUGAAGUCAUAUUCUGGCAAGUGGGGCGCACUCGUUUUCACUACGUUUCGAUCGAACUUGGCUCUGUUGAUGAGCCCUCGAGGAUCCUGUCCUCGAUCCACUCUCCGAUCAUUGUGAGGUAGGUUGUGCCUCGGGCCAUUCCUCCUAUCCUCGAGGUAUGGAUAAUACCUUUCUUUGUUUUGUUUUGGUUCCUUUUCCAGGAGCCUGCUCGGGUAUACUGAGCCAGAAGGGGCUCCCAGGUGGUUAUCUUUGGCUCUGAUGUUCGACUGGUACCGGUUGUGGACGUCUGACUAGGUCUCAGCUAGGUACUCGAUCAAGUUCUGUUUCAGCUGUUUUGAAGCCACCAAGCUUUGUUCAUUCAGACCUUGAGUGAAGUCCUGCAAUGCCCAGUUGUCGGAGAUAGGCGGUAGCUCCUUCCAUUCCAUCUGAAAGCGAGACACGAAUUCCCGCAGCAUCUCGUUCUCCCUUUGCUUGAUUUUAAAAAUGUCGGACUUCCUCAUCGCUACUUUGAUGGCACCGGCAUGUACCUUUACGAAGGAGUCUGCUAGCAUGGAGAAUUAACUUAUCGAGUUAGGAGCCAAGUUGUGAUACCACAUCAUGGCCCCCUUUGAGAGUAUUUCCUCGAAUUUUUUCAACAAUACAGACUCGAUCUCGUCAUUCUUUAUAUCGUUGCAUUUUACCGCACAAGUGUAGGCAGUAACGUGUUCAUUAGGGUCAGUGUUCCCGUUGUACUUAGGGAGUCCAGGAAUUCUAAACUUCUUUGGAAUGAGUUUCGGGGCCGCCACAUCGGGGAACGACCUUUAUAUGAACUUCUUUGAAUCCACGCCCAUGAGGACCGGCGACGCACCCAGGAUCUGGUAAACCCUAGAGUUGUAGGUCUCAACCUUCCUGUCGUUGGCUGCUAUCAUUUUCUCUCCCGAUUCGAUCCUUUUGGUGAGAUCCUCAAGCAUUUUUACUAUGGCCGGGUCAGCUAUCGAUCCGUUAUUGCUCGAUCUCUCGGGUACCUGUUUGGCUGGGGGAACUAUUUACGGUGCUGCCGUGUUGGGAGUCUUGAGGUGGCUUUUUAACUAAGCAAUAGCCAACUGUUGUGCCUACAACAUUUCAAAAAUAACAUGAAGACUAACUUCCUGUUCUUCCCGAGGCGGGGUCUUCUGGGUUUCCUGUUGGUCACUAUGUUGUAUACUUUUGUCGGUGUGUAAGGUUUCAUCGACUUGCUGCGCGUCUUGCGAACCUGUAUCCGCUGGAAUCGAUCCAGAAGCGUUAUCAAGGCUCUGCGGUGGCGCGCUAACGACUGGAACGACCACACUGUUCUCUCCGUGGUUUUCAAGGUUGUCGUUCUCAAAUCUUUUUAAUGAGCCAGACAUUUUGACCUGAAAUCGAAGACCUUGGACAAGAAUAAGUGUGAAAGAUAACUUGCGUUGUGUAAUGAAACCAGCAAGAAAAUAAUCACUAUUAUUUUUAGCCCCACGGUGGGCGCCAAACUGUUUACCGUGAAAAUGGUAAUGACAAUAAAAUUUGUAAAUGAGACUCUAAAAAUACGUGAUCUAUUUUUAUGCUAGUUGUUAGAGCAGUUGAUGCUAGGCGUACGUAGAAAAGAGAUGAAACGCGAGGUAAGACAGAGUUAUAAUCAAACCAAGAGAUUAGUUAUUCUAGCCUUGAACUGGCCGAUGGGGGGCCUCGAGGUCGAUGCCUUAGCUCGAGCUCGAGCUAUCGGGGGUAUCCAGGAAGGGAAUAACAGUUAGGAUAUAAUUAGGGAAGGCUCUUCAUGGUCAAUAUCAAGCAAUAAAUGAAGAACAAGUAUGAAAGCAAUAAAUGAAAGGUAGUCUCGUGCGUGCGAGUUAGAGAGAAAAGAGAAAGAGAGUUGUUAUUGAUAUUAUGUAGAAGAGUUGGAGUCACUUGCAUACAAAGUGUCAAUGAUUCCCCUUUUAUAAGAGGGGGGAAUCCAAACUUAGUAUAAGAUACAUUGAGCGGUAGAGGAAACAGGAUGGGAUAGCUAAUUAGCUUCGUGACGUAUACGUAGACCAAUGUUAGGCUGCCCAGGUAGACUUAAUCAGCUCCGGAUGCAUUCUUCGAAGCCUCCCAUGCUCGUCGGGGUCUAGGCCAACAUUAUCCCUAGGCCAGGUGAUGACAUAUCUUUAGGGAAGUACCCGGCUCAAGGUUCCAGCCUCCGAGGCAACCUCUUAAAGCAUUUGGUCAAUGAGAAAUUGGUCCCCCCCCUCGAUUUCACCGUACACACUAGUGGACUCUGAAUAGCCUGCUGGGAUCAAUCAACGCUCACUGGCACGACUUGAAGCUCCUAAAUCUGCACACAAGGUGCAGGGAGUAAAGUGAGUACUCCAACUCAUUGAGUAACAAAAAAAAUGAACACGGAGUGAUAAGAAAUCACGUAAAACACAACAACAUGCUAUAAAAAGGCAGUGUAAAACCAAUAAAAUGCAAUAAAACAGUGAAAUCUUAUGAAAACACCUUAGUUCAGUAUAAGCUUCUUUAAAACAUAUUUUUAACAAUUAAGCAAGUAAAUGAGAAGCAUCUAGAAAAGAUAUACACAUAAAAUCCGCCCCUCAGGCACAAUAUCAAUAGAAUCAGCCCCUCGGGCAAUAAAAUGGAACAACACCAGCCCCUCGGGCUAUAUCACAUAUCACACUGGGUACCCGCGCUCACUGGGGAGUACAGACUCUGGGAGGGGCCCCUUAUGGCCUAAGUGCAAUAUCAAGCCAUAUCGUGGCAUAAUCAAAUAGGCUAUUGACCUCAUAUCAAACCACCUCGUGGCAUACAACUCAGGCCCUCGGCCUCAUAAUCAUAAUCAGCACAACACUGCUGCGGUGUGCAACCCGAUCCCAUAAUAAUCCUCACAACACAGGACCUCGGCCCUACUCAGUCAGAAAUCUCUAAAGGCCACUCGGGCAUAGUAAAACAUGAUGCUCAACCCAAAAUAUCAUUUAAACUGGAAAAAAUAGAGUAUGUCUGAGUUAUGAAAAUAGUAGAAUAUAGCAUGACUCAGUUCAGAUAUAAAAUCAAAACAGUGAGGAAAUAGCAGUUAAAAUCCCCUAAGGAUCCAAAACAGUUGGCACGAGUCCCAAAUAUGGCAUUCAGCCCAAAACAUGACGAUAGUAAACAAUUUUCAAUCAAAUAAGUAGUAAAACAGUAAUUCGGAAUGGACUAAGUCGCAAUCCCCAACGGUGCACGACCCCAUGCUCGUCAUCAAGCGCGUGCGUCACCUCAAUGUAGCUCAACGAUGUGAAAUCCGGGGUUUCAUACCCUCAGGACAACAUUUACAAUUAUUACUCACCUCUAUCCGGUCCAAACUCUAGCUCGCGAUACCUUUUCCCCUCGAAUCGGCCUUAGGAUGCUCCAUAUCUAACCAAAAUCAGUACAUAGCCAUCAAAAUAUACUAAGGGAAAAAAUCCCACUCAAAAGUAAUCAAAAUAUCACGCAAAUCCCGAAGUUAACCAAAACUCGACCCCGGGCCCACGUCUCAAAAUCGGAUAAAAUUUACAUCAUUAGAAUCCUUAUCAUUCGACGAGUUCAUUCAUAUGAAAAGCACCAAAAUCCAACCAAAAAUGGCCCCUCAAAUCCUCAAGUCAAGAUCUCCAAGACCAAGCCCUAACCCCUCAAUUUUCUUCCAUAAUUUCCACUAACAACAUGAUUAAACAAUGGAAAAACUAAUCAUAAACUCAAGUAAUAAAGCUUAGGGAACUUACCCAACUGAUUCUUUUUGAUUUCCUCUUGAAUUCACUGCCUUAGCUCACUUCCCGUCUUCAAAAAUGGAGAACUUAGAAAAAAUUCGCGAAGGAAACAUUAUAUACUUUCUAACCCCGGGAUUCCGCACCUGCGGUCCAUCCACCACAUCUGCAGUACCGCUUCUGUGUUCCAAGACACCGCAUCUACGCUUUUCACUUAUGGGCCAAUAUCCGCAUCUGUUAUGCAAUGCCCGCACCUGCGCUCCCUUACCGCUUCUCCGGUUCCAGCGGAUCCUCCUCUUGGCCACAUCAACAGAUCCCUCUACGCUUCUGCGAGCCCGCACCUGCGGUCCCCUAGCCACAGGUGCGGUUAUGACAACAGGCUUAGCUUCAGCUGCUACUUCCAAAUUCCAAUAUUUCCGCCAACCAUCCGAAAUUACCCCGAGGCUCCCGGGACCUCAACCAAAAGAACAACCAACUCCUAUACCACUAUCCAAACUUAUAUCAGUCUUCGAAACACCUAAAACAACAUCUAACCAACCGAAACACCUCGGAUUCAAGCCUAAGGUUCCAAAAUCAUCCAAAUUUCUCUUUUAAUCAAAAAGUCUAUAAAACCACAUCCGAAUGACCUGAAAUUUUGCACACACAUCCCAAAUGACAUAAUAAAGACCUACUGCAUAUCUCAGAAUUCCAUUUAGACCCCUAUAUCAAAAUCUCACCUACCAACCGAAAAACGCCAAAAUUCCAACUUCGCCAAUUCAAGCCUAACUCUACUCCAGGCCUCUGAAACCCAUUACGAUCACGCUCCUAAGUCCCAAAUCAUCUCCCAAAGCUAUCCGAAACAUCAAAAUUCACAUCCCAGUCCUAUUUCACAUAAGGCAAUAUCCGGUUAACUUUCCAACUUAACUCACUCAAAAGAGACUAAAUGUCUCAACCCUCACCGAAACCUUUCUGAACCCGAGCCAACCAACCCGAUAACACAUAAUACCUAUAAUCAAACCAAUAAGAAACAGAAAUGGGGGAAACAGAGCUGUAACUCAUGAGACGAUUGGCCGGGUUGUCACAAUUCCUAGCUAUAUUUCUUUAAUCAUUGGUUAACCCACUUAAUUCCUUGAUAAUUACUUUAUACCUAAGCUAAGUUCUACUCUUCCAAGCUAGAACAAGCAAAAUAGGCAUGGAUUUAGUAUUUGUAACCACAAAAUCAAUCAAUAAAGCAUGGAGUAAUUAGAUAACAUAAAGCUUAAUCAAAUUUGAAUUUAUAUUAAUAACCCAAAAACAUAACCAAAUUAGGGUUCACAAUCCUAGCUUAAUAAACUUAGCUAGAAAUUAUAAGAAAGAAAAAUACAAAAAGAGAUGAAAAACUAACAUAAUAGCUAAAGUGAAAAGAUAGAUUGUGUAGAACAAUUGUGAAGUCACCCAAAAUCCCAAAAGCUGCUACAAAAUGCAUUCUUUCAUAAAGAUGCCCUAGAAUGACUUAAAGUAGCUAUUUAUACUAAGUCCCAAGAGUAGAUAAAAUUGCCCCGUCGGGCCAACUGUGAGGUCGACCUCAAGAUGCAGUUGAACCGUAACGAAUUCCAAAAGCUUCAUUUCUUCAACUCUUUAGGUUUCUGUUGAACCAUGUCCAAUGGUUGGAGCAACCGUGUCCAAUGGUCUGCCUAAAAAUAUUUUUGCUUCAACUUUUCUCCAAUUUUAGAUCUAAAGUGAUGACUUCUUGCCCAUUUUUAAUAUUGUCCAAUUUCAAAGUUCUCAUACAACUUCAAAACCUGAAAAUACACCAUCAAAGAACAAUUAUCCAAUUUAUUCCAACAAAUGAGGCAUUAAACUCUAUCAAAAUAUAAGAACAAUUAGCUAAAAAUCUAAUGAAUCAGACGUAUACCAUGAAAGAUCUCUCAGAUUUGGCAGGAUUUUAAAAUGAUAAAUAAAAAGUAAUAUGAUGUAUUCUUAGAUCUAGCCGGAUUUUCAUUUGUCUCUGGUGACGAAAAGUCUCGAAGCCUCACUCUUAGAUCUGACUGGAUUUUAGUUAGUACAAUGUAAUAGUGCAUUUUCAAAUCUGGCCAAAUUUUUGUUCUUCUCCAUUUUUAGUUUUAAUACAAUGUAUACAAAAUGUUGCUUGGCCGGAAGAUGCCACCUCCGGUGAACUUUCUUCUCUUAUUUGCUAUUUUGUCACAUACAAAGAUACAAUACAUAUAUUGUAUUCUCAGAUCUGGAUGAAUUUCGAAAGGUAAAUACAAAGUAUAUACAUUGUAUCUUAGAUUUGGUUGGAUUUUAGUUCAUCUCUAAUAGCGCAAAACCUGUAAGCCUCAUUCUCAUAUCGGUGGAUAUUCAAAUGACAAAUACAGUGUAUAGUGUAAUUUCAGAUCUGGGUGAAUUUUUUGUUUGUCUCCAUCUUAAGUAUAAAUACGGUGUAUAAAAUAUUUUUCUUGGCCGAAAAGUGCAAUCUUUGACGAACUUUCUUCUCUUCAAUGGUUGUAUACACUGAGAAUGUAGUUGUAUUUGAUUUUAUUUAUCGAUGUUGCUUUUUGAUAUAAUGGAUGAUUGAGUUAUUUGAUAAUUAUAUUCUAGUUUUCACACAUUGAAUGUAUUUUUCUAACCUGUAUCCAAUCUCUCAUAGAUUGUAUCGACUGUAUCUAAAAUUGUAUUCAUUGAUUCAACCAUUAUGCACAAACAAAUACAAUUGAUACAAUUUUUCCAUCAAAACUGUAUUAUUGAUACAGCCCGGCAAUAGAUUGGUACACAUAUGCAUUUGAUAUAACGAAAGUGAUACAUUAGCUGCGAAUGGUACUUAGGCAACCUAUGGUUACCUGAAGUAAUUUACUAUCAAAUUAUGGUCAUUUCUAAAAGUUUCUGUUUAUCAUUUAGUAGUUAUAUUGAAGAGAGUAAGGGCCUAAAAAAGGAAAUGAACUGGCUUAUUCAUUUGAUUCAAUGUGCAGAAAAACACGAUUCACUAACUAGUAUUUAAAUUGAACUAAAGCAAGACAACUUAAACCCACACAAUUUGGUCAUCAAAAUUAUAUUUGCUCACAAGUCAAAGAAUAUACCCCUUUAAGCAUUCAUUUAAGGUCCAUAAAGAUUCUGACGAACUUUUCACCGGCAAAAUUGGAGACCAAGUUCAAAGAUCUGAAAUUUGAAUAUCAAUCACUUAUUAGAGAUUUGAAAUUUCACCAACUUCAGAAAAUGAAAGAGAAGGAGAACAAAAGGAAAAAAAGGGAACAAGGAAAAUCGGCUGGCCGGAAAGAGCAUAACCCUUAGAAGAGAAGAUAAAUAUUGUAUUAAGUACUAAAAAAUUUAUGAAAAAGAAUAAAGAAAAAUAGAAAUAACACUAGAAAGAGAAUAAUUAUUAUGGAAAGUCAUUACUGGUUCUUAAAUCUGAUAUUGAUUAAAAAAGGUGGUAUCUAAACUACUCUGAACAAAUCGGAGGGACGAGGGGUCGGGGGAUAGGACCCCCGCAUAGUUUAAUUAUUCUUCAUAUCACCCGGUAUAGCAUCGACAUCAAAUGACUUCAUGAGGUUUAUUUUAUCCUAAAGAAACAAAAAACCCAUUCUCGCAAAUCAAACUUGAAACCAAUAAUCUCAUAAUAAAAUUGAGAAAGAGACUUAGGGUGUGUUUUGUACGAAGGAAAAUAUUUUUCAUGGAAAAUAUUUCCCUAAAAAAAUGUUCUAAUGGAAAAUGAGAGGCUUUAUCACUUAUUUUUCUUUGUUUGGGUUGUGAUUAGAAAACGUUUUCCGAAGAGUAAUAAUCCACGUCCAAUCUUUCACUCAGUAGUGAGUGGAAACGGUUGUUGCAAGAAUAAUACCCAAGAAGAGUCGUAGUCGAUUUUCACAGGGAUUUACAUUGGGUGUUAGGAGUAUACACUUGACAAAAGCAAGUGGAAUAACUUAAUUACACUUCCAACAAAAGGUUUUGAUUUGUUCUUCUAAUUUUACUAUAGCAAUUAUGAGCGAAGAAAAGAAACUAGAAGCGAAUGAUUGUUAUUGGUGUUUUUCCAAUAGUUAAAAAUCCUAGGGAUGUGACCAUAACCUAGAUGUUCGCUAAUGGAUUAAAUAUGUUAAUACUUAUUUUGUUGAUUGGGGUGUAUUAUAGCUCUCAACUCUACGUUACCCAUGAUUUUGCCCAAUUUGGCCUUCUCAAGCCCAAAUAGGUAUUAAACUAAAUAGUUGAUAUGAGCUCAAGUCGGGUUCUCACUAUUUCUAGUUUGAACCUUUUAAUUAGGCUAAUCAAACCUUCAAUUAGCCCAAUUCCUUGUUAGCCAAGUUAUCCUAGACUAGAUCCUUCUUUCUCAAGUAGAGACCAAGUCAAAAAGACAUGAAUCAAUAUUUGCAACCAUUAAUUCUAAAAUUAAAGCAUAAACUAAGCUAAAUAAUCAACACCCAUCAUAAACAAGCAUUAAAUUAAAUUCCCAUAAGGUUUACACACUAGGGUUUGGUCACAAUCCUAGUAAGAUUUAGCUACUCAUAUUGAGAAUUGAAGAAAACAAAGAAGAAAUGCUAAUUAAACUCAUAAUCUAAGAUUAAAUGAUAAAAUAAGAUGUUCUAGACUUAAAAUAAUCAUAAACUUCCUAAAAUGGAAAAAUAUAUCAGUUACAGCAGCUCAAACUUCGAAACUUAACCUAAAAAUGUGAAACUUGUCUAUUUAUAGUUGCACAAAAUUCACUGAUAAAAAUUCCUUUCGGGAGGUUCUGCAGCCACAGAAUUCCAUUUGCGGUCCGCAGAUUUCUUUUGUUAGUAGGUCUUGAAUCUCGUAGCCGUACAAUUCUGGAUUGCGGCUACAAAGCAUCUUCUACGGCUACCCAAUUCUUGUGUGGUCCACACAUCAGCAGGGCUUCAGGUCUUUGUCUUUUGCGCGCUCUCUGAACGUUGAAUCAUUUGUCAGUGUAUACCUUUUUUGUGGACGCACAAUUCAAGUGCGGUCUGCCACAUUAGCUAGAAUUCUAUUAGGAUUUUUCACUUGUCCUGCAGUCCCAGAUAGAAUUUCACGGUCCACACUUUCUUUUGCGACAGCAGAAAUCCUUCUGCAGAUCACACUUCUUAAGUUCUGUGCUCCUUCUUGCCUUGUGAUAUAGAAUACUCCUUUUCGAGUCGGAUUUCAUCAUUGGAGACCAAACAUCCAAUAUUAUUGUAAUAUGCACACUUUCAUUAGUUUCGAGAACAUAAAUUAAUACUUUAGGACUAAAAUAAAAGAAAAAAGGUGCUAAUAAGUAGUCAAAAUCCCCACUUAUCAAUUCCCCAAACAUAAAUCUUUGUUUGUCUUCAAGCGAAUAAAGUAGUUCCCACCUCCUAGAGUUAAGGUUCCUUUCAACGAGUAUGUCACGAUCCAAAAUACAACUAGUCGUGAUGACACCUAACCUAACCCGCUAGGUAAGCCAAUUCACAACUAUCCAAUUUAAUGACAUUUAUUGAGACAAAUGAAUGGAAAAAUAACUGAACCUUCAUACAUUUCCCAAGACAGGUAGUACAAAUCAUGAGCUUCUAUGAUUUAAAAUUUACAAAGCUAGAAUGAAAAUAAAGUACAUCAUCUAUUUGAAAUAUACAUGAACAUAUUAAAAUUCUAAAGCUACCAAGAUCAAGAGGAAGUUAUGACCGGAACGUAGGUGCAUCUUCAAUUCCAGCACCCGUCGUACGCAGCAACAUCAGCAUCCAAUAUCUCCACGCAAUGUGCAUAAGUGUAGUAUGGGUAUAACUUACCCCAUGUACUCAAUAAGUAACAAAUCUAAUCUUAGGAUAAAAGUAGUGACGAGCUGGAACAAUGAUCGAAGUCCAGCACCAACAACCGUUCAUAACAACAUAAUGAAUGUUAUAAAAUAAGCAACUCAGAGAUAAAAUGCCUAGAUCAUUCAGAGUUCCGGAAAAUAGUCAUGCUUCUCAAGAAUAUUAGUGAAAACCCAAAUCUUUUAUCGAAAUCAGCAAAAUAUGAGUAAGUUUGUAAAACUGUAAAUUUUCUCAAAACUUUCAACAGGUAAAACGUUUCAUUUUCAAAUGGCAUGAGAAAAUACAUCUCUUUGGCUACAUGUGAUUGUGCAUGUGAAGUCAUGAAUGAUUAAAUACUGUACAGUAUGAGGAAAAUGCAUCUUUAUGCCUAUGUGUCAAGUGUACAUGUUGAAUUCGAUGCAACUCAAUGAUAAAAACAUAUGCAUACUUUCAGAGUAUGAAGUCACUCAGUCCUCCCAACCACUUAGUCCUCCCAACCACUCAAUCCUCAUGGUUACUCAGUCCUCACAGUCACUCAGUCCUCCCAAUUACUCGGCGCUCGCUCUCGGCACUCGCACUCAGUAUGUACCUAAGCUCAUUGUAGGUGUGCAGACUUUGGAGGGGCAGAUCCAGCCCAAUAAGCCAAUCAUUACAUUAAUAAAUAAUACCUGCUAUGACGUGCAACCCGAUCCCAUCAUGACCCAAUAAUACCUACUGCGGCGUGAUGACCGAUCCCAUUAAUAUCCUUACAAUCAGGCCCUUAGCCUCACUCAGUCAUCAAUCUCUCCAGUCUCUCAGUCUCACAAUGUCAUGAAAAUCUUCCCAAAAUGAUGAUGUGAUGUAUCAAUAAAUGGUAACAAAGACUGAGAUAUAAUAUGCAAAUGAAUGCGUAUAACUAAGUAUGCAAUUGCAACGUACUCAAAUAAAUCAGUAGUAGAAGUGACCUUAGUGGGUCCCAACAGGAUAAGCAUAUAGCCUAGACAUGGUUUCUAACAUGGAUCACAGCUUAAUUACUCCAGUACGUAGAGAUUUCAUAGAUACAAAUAAGAUUAGGUAACUAUACAAUACCACAGAAAUAACUGAGUCACAAUUCACACGGUGCACGCUCACACGCCCGUCACCUAGCAUGUGCAUCACCUCAACACCAAACACAUAUUAUGUAUAUUCAGGGGUUCAUAUCCUUAGUACCAAGUUUAGAAGUGUUAUUAUCUCGAACAAGCCAACUCCAAUACCGAGCAAGCCAAACGAUACACCAAAAAUGUCAUCCCGCGCAUACCGACCUCCUAAUGGCUCGAAACUAAGCAAAUCAAAUACAUCAAAUAAUUCCUAAAACAAUUCCAAAUUAUAAAUGUCGAAUUUUUAACCAAAAUCCCAAAGUCAAUCAAAAAGUCAAACCCGGGCGCGCACCUCGGAACCUGACAAAACUUACAAAAUCUCACAACCCAUUCAUUACGAGUCUAAAAAAACUAGUUUCACUCAAAUACAACUCCGAAUCGAUGUUCAAAAUUCACUCUAUGAAACAUUAUAAAAAAAACCCCCAAUUUCUCUCUUGGAAUUCAUAAUCAAAUGCCAAAAAUGACGAUAGAUUCAUACAAAAUCAAAAUCGAGUAGAGAACACUUACCCCAAUCCAUAUGGUGAAAAUCGCUUCAAUACUUAUCUCAAUCUGAGGUCUAAUAGCUCCAAAAUAUGAAUAAAAUGACCAAACCCUCGACUUAAUAGCUUCUGCCCAGACCUUUCACAAAUGAGAAUAAGUAGUCGCACUAGAGACCUCCGCUUCUGCGGCAAAUGACUCGCACCUGCGAAAAAUCACUAAAGCCCUCCUAUCACACUGCAAAAUUUCCUUGCAUCUUUGCACACGUAGGUGCGACAACCACACGCGCUGCUGCACCACGCACCGCUUCUGUGGCUCACAAUUAUGCUUUUGCGGAUGCACAUAUGCGCCCCUUAUUCCGCUUCUAUGGCUCGCAACUUCUCACUUGAUUUCUCUUCUGCUACCAAAGGGUCGCAUUUGCGUGUAGCCAUCUGUAGAUGCGGUUGCACCAGAAUAGACUUGCCCUUAGCUUUAACCAAGAAUGAUCCAAAUGAUCCGAACCUCAUUUGAAAAUCUUCUGAACCACCCGGGACCCCGUUCAAUAUACCAACAAGUGCUAUAAUGUAGCGUGGACCUACUCGAUGUCUCAAAUCACGCAUAACAACAUCAAAACAAUGAAUCGCACCUCAAAUCAAACUUAAUGAACUUUUGAACUUUCAACUUCCAAAAUUCACGCCAAAACAUAUCAAAUCAACUCGGAAUGAACUUACUUUUUACACACAAGUCCCAAAUGACAUAACAAAGGAAUUCCGAUUCUCGGAACCACAAUUCAUAUCUGAUAUCCACAAAUUCAACUCUCAGUCAAACUUAUAUACUUUCAAAACCUUCAAAUUUUCAAAAUUCGCCAAUUAGCGCCGAAAUUUUCUAGACAUAUCCAAAUGCAAAUCUGAGCAUACGCUCGAGUCCAAAAUCACCAUCUGGACCUAACUAAACUAUCAAAACUUCAAUCCUAGGUUAAAUACUAAAAAUUCAAACUUGGUCGACUCUUCCAACUUAAAGCUUCAAUUAUGAAAUUCAUUCUUCCAAAUCGUUUCCGAAUAACCUGAAAAUCAAAACCGACGAUUCACAAAAGUCAUAAUACCUCAUAUGGAGCUACUCAUGCCCUCAAACUACUGCGUGAAGUGCAAAUUUCUCAAUACAAUUGGUCGGGUCGUUAUAGAGUUAAAGGUGAGCUCAUCAUACAUCAGUUGGGAUCAACAAUUACCCAUGCUACUCAUGCAUUAUCAAUAAGGUGACGAGUCAAAUAUUCAUGCACAUAUAGUUCUAAUGUGACAUUUGAGCUUCAAUAAUUGACUUUACUCAUCAAGGACUCUUAUUCUAUCAUGUAGGUCAUGGUGGACUCCAAACCAUUCCUCCUCUACUUUUCAUUUGCCAAGCUCACGUAAGAAAUUAACACUCAAUCUUAAGAUUCAUGAAAGGUUCACUCGUAUCUCAAAAGAGAAUGUCACAAGUACGAAUUCAAGUACCAUAUUUUUGCCCCUCAUGUAGAUCACCACUAAUGUAAGCUCACUCGCUUUGAAAUCAAGUAUGACUUCUUUUAGGUUGUAAUGAAGGAUUUUGGAUUAGGGUAGGAUACCAUAUGGGUAAGUCGUUACCCUUUCCUUGAGCACUCCACAUUUUUCAUUUCUCGGCUCACAAUUACCAAUUCUUAGAGGCACUUUUCUUUUCAUUGGGGACUAGAGAGACUUAACAUCACUAUUUCUUGUUCAUUUCAUUCUAUUUAUCCCUUUUUGAUUUCUCAUGCUAGGGAUCAUUACCUAUUUUUUGUAUCCAUAAACCCUUCCACUUAUUCACGUUUUGCAUUUUUUGUUCUUCUCUUUUCUUGCCUUAUCCUUUCAUAGAGAUUAUUUCUUUUCUCUUUUGUGACUUAAUAAAUUUUUUAAAUUACUCAUCUCUCCCCCAAAAAGAAUCCGGGUUCCAAUAGAGGGUCACGACAAAAUGGGUAAAGGUUUAUAACAUGGUUAUAAAAUAAGAAAGGCUAGAGGCUCAAAGGGGUUGACUAGGGAUAACAAUAUUUGUUGGCAAUAGAAAGCUCAAACGGACCAAGGAAAGCCUACAAUCACCUCUUAAACCAAGCAAAGCUUAGGAUUUCGCCUUGAAACCCAUUUGGGGCAAGUUCUAGACUCUUCGCAUGGAUACUUGGACUAGCAAUAAUUCAUCUCACCGCUCACGUAACUAGAUUGUAAAAGAGGAUAGAGUAGAGAGCCUACAAUGGCCACACUCAAGUUUAAAGAUAACUAUGGUCAAAUUAAAUCACUCGAUGAUUACCAAAGUCAACUCAAGAGUCACAAAGUCACUAACUAGAGCUAUUUAUUUUAAAAAAACCUUGUCUCUAACUAGAAGUACGUAGUUAAGUGUGUUGAUACUAAUUGAAGCAUGAUUAACUCUUCUAGAAUGACUUGAUUAUGUCUUUUUAUUCAUUACUACUACUAUUAUUAACUAAAAACAAAAAAUUGACUCAUUUCCUUAUGAAGCUUGUCACGCUAUCCACCGCUGGAACGAGUUACCCAGUUCACAUAAUAAAUACUUUUGGAGAGAACCGUGGCGUUAAGAAAACUUAAAGGCUUAUUAUCUACUAAAGAAUAAAAAGAAGCUUAUAACAAAACAAGAACUAAUAUGCAAAGAAAAAAAUAAAAUAAAGAAGCAAUAAGCAAAAACUACUAAAGAGAGAUAAAUAUACAUACGAGAAGAAAGAGAAGCUAGAUGAAUACACAUAUGAAAAGAAAGAGUAUCAUCAAAUUAUUACAGACCAAAUGUAUCAAAUUGUACCACUGUGUCAAACAAACUUACUCCCCUGAAUAAAAGUAAGAAUUGUCCCCAAUGCUUAGCAAAAUAUGAGUAAAAGAGGAGAGGGUGAAGAAAACUCCCUAAGGAUCCUUGGACAUGUCAGUUUACCCAACAAUGUCAUCUCCCUUAGGUUCAACCAACUGAAUAUCAUAAUCAUCAUCAAAUCUAGGCAUGGCUGGGUUGUCAAACAUCGCACGCACUACCUCAGUAGUGUCAGAAGCAAGGUCUGGCUCGUCACAUUGGCCAGCUGGUGCUAUCGGUGUAGAUGGUAUUGAAGGAUAUGGGUAGACUAGGUGCGGGUCAAGCAUCAUAUCAAAAGGAAGAUCUCCAGUUACCCCCCCCCCCCCAACCCUCAUUCUCUCAUCACACUGUGCCAUUACUACUCUCAUCUCUCUCAAGACUCUCUCUGCUAAAACUAAGCUCCUACUCGCCGGCCACUGGCUCGCCGGUGUCAAUGGUGGUUCCACCAUCACCCCUAGCCUCUAUGCCCCCCACAUGCCGGAUUCUUGUUAACCUGAGGUCCUGAAGGGACCAGUAGCUAUUCAACUCACACCUACGACAUUGUUGCCAUUCUCAGGCCACCUUGGUUUGUCUGAGUAAGACAUUUCUAUUUCUUUGGCUAGAUGCAUGGCUUCUAAGCCAGAAUCUCUCCAUCUCGGGGUUAUCUCUCUCUGAAACCCUAAUUUAUAUCUUGACCUCUUAGAUCUGUAAUAGAUCUAAGAGUAUUCUAAGUUAUUUUAUUGUUUUCCAUGAUAAUCUCUCUGAUUAUUCGAAAACACCUCUUCAUCUUAAAAACUAGGGUUUCUUAACCCUUUUUCAAAAUGACUUCUCCUCUGAUUUUCAGUAUUAUUCUAUAAUGUUUACUAUGUUUAAACAGUUUAUUUAUGUUUUUCCUUUUAUCUAAUUCAUUAUGUUUAAAAUCCUAAUUCUUGGUCUUAAUCUUGGGUUCUGAGAACUGUCCUUGCUUAUUUGUUCAUUUAAUUUGUUUGCAUGUCUGUUAUUCAUGGAUAUGUUCUAUGUUUCUAUGAUUGUAACCUAUUAUGCUCAUUAGGGUUUCUGAUUUUGCUUCUUCCACCUAUAUUAUUUCUAUUCUAUUUAUUAACAGAAAUUUAUGUUAAUUCCUAUAAUCAGUACUAUUCUUCUAGUUGAAUUCCUAACUUUGUGGGAUUUUUACUUUACUAUGCAUAUUAGGGUUUCUAAUUUUAUUCCUUCUUGCCUAUACUGUGAUUAUUUCGUUUAUUUACAGCAAUUUGUGUUAAUUCCCCUUUAUCAUUAGUACUCCUAUUUGAACCCCUGAUUUCCUGUAAUUGAUGCCUUUCACUAAUAUCUUAUGAUGAUCUCCUUUUUUAUUUCCAACCUCUAAGUUAUUCUCUUGCCUUAUUUUAUGGUCGACUAUACUGUCAAAUCUGAUUCUUAUGUUAUUUCCUUAGUUGGAAUAUUAUGUAUUUAGCCUUAUUUACAUGUUCUAUACUUGUAGUAUGCUGAAAUUAUUUCCUUAUGUGUCAAGUCUCAUGUGAUGUCCUUCCUUAUUUGCCUUUACCGUUUGAAGUUAACUCCUUUAAUUAAGGGAGUACUUAUACUGAUUAUAUACUAUAUGAUACCUAGUUCCAUAAUUACUGCAUGACAUUGAUUCUUACCUUAUUAUUUUGCCUAGUUUCAAACUACAUAUNUAUAUAUAUAUAUAUAUAUAUACCUNNNNNNNNNNNNNNNNNNNNNNNNNGCUCUCUCAUUAACAAAAGCAUACAAACACAUUGGUUCAAAGCUCUCUCUCUCUCUCUCUCAC
rnacentral:lncRNA from 1 species